CAACAACAAUCUUGGUCGUCAACACCUGUCCUAGCCAUGCCAUAUACCAACCCUUGUGUAGUUUCCCUCAUCUUCGCCUUGCUUGCAAUGCAGUGGCCGUUGUUCGUCAUGUCGAUAUUGUGAUUGACCCACUCAGAUCUGUCCAGUGGGAGCUCUAGCUACUCAGAUGUUUCAGUUCACUAAGUUUGAAAAGUCCACAACGUCGAGGUGGAGCCACCUCGCUGCCAAUUCCUCCUCGAAUCACUUUUCUUAGUUAUAAGGCCACGUCACACUCACUAAUAGAAAAUCUGCCAGCAGUUCAGUAAACAAAAGUUGACUAACAGAACAUGUAUAUACCUACACUACAUGUAAAUAGGGUCUUAUAUAUGAACCGAGGUUGAUGGAUAGACAAAAAGUAUCGCGGACAUUGCCGAGUAAGUAGCACUGGAUCAGAUCGCUUGAGAGUAAUAUUACUAUAGACUGUAUGAAGACUACAUGUAUUUUCAGCUGGGCAACUAACAACCUCAGCUAUUUUCCGAAUAGAAGUCAUCAAGAUACCCAUGUUAAACCACAUGGAUAUUGCACAAUCAAAGCCACACAAACAGCUUGAGCCUUUGGGCAUCAAGAUGCAACAUAGCAGUUUGUAAAAUCCUCCAUAAUAUGAUAAUAUACAACAUAUAUUGACUUUGUCACAGCAAGGUUAGGAACAAGUACAAAUGCAAUUUACAUCAACAAUCCGUAUAAACUACUAAGGUUGUUAUUCAUGUUGUCGUUGACCCUCCUGCUGGAGGCUACAUGUCAUGGCAGAUUGUGAUGGAUAGCACCAAGGUAGACCGCUACACUAGUAGAAAACAGGGCUUUGGUCCAGGCCGGGUCAGCCUAUUAGUCCCGGUUCAGUCCAGAACCGGGACCAAUGGGGGCAUUGGUCCCGGUUCGUGAGCCCAGGGGGCCGGCCGAGCUACGUGGGCCAUUGGUCCCGGUUCAUCUGGACCUUUUGGUCCCGGUUGGUGGGAUGAACCGGGACCAAUGGGCCUCGCUCCUGGCCUACAACCAUUGGUCCCGGUUCGUGCCUCAAACUGGGACUAAAGAUUAGACCUUUAGUCCCGGUUUGAGGCACGAACCGGGACUAAUGGGGUUGAGACCUUUAGUCCCGGUUCGUGCCACGAACCGGUACUAAAGGUCCAAUUUUCAAAUUCUACCCCCCCUAUCGCCUUUUCAGUUUUUUUAAAAAAAGAAAAUGAUGGAAAUGUCAAAAAGAAAAGAAAAUAAGUUUCCCAUGUGAUAUGUGGUCUAGUUGUUGGGAAAAUUUGCAAAUGUGAAUUUUGACUUUAUUUGCAAAAUCUCUCUGAAAUUUGUAAAAAUGGGCAUAACUUUUGCAUACUAACUCGGAUGAAAAAGUUUUUUAUAUGAAAAAGCAUCUACUCAAAAAGUUACAUCCGAAUUUAACGGGGGAACUCUGUUAAACAUUUUCAAAAUCCUCAAAAACCUAAUAGAAAAAAGUUACGGGGCUUUUAAGAUCUAGAGUGAAAAAAAUCGAAAAAAAAUUCAAACAGUGGGCAAACUGUGGUCAAACAAUGGUCAAACUAAUUAUUCUAGAAUAUUAGUGUUACUAAAUAAUUAUUUCUGUUAUUUCAAUUUUGGUCAAAUCUGGUCAAACUGUGGUCAAACAAUGGUCAAACUAAUUAUUCAAGAAAUAUUAGUGUUACUAAAUAAUUAUUGUUUUUUAAAACAAUAGUUUCAAAAUAAAACUAUGAAAUGUGUCACUUCAUGCUCAAGCAAAAUUCCUGAAGGUUAAUAGGAUUGACAUCUUAGUAUUGUCAGGAAAACAACAAAUGCAGACUUGGAGUGAGGGAGAAUAGAACCCGGAAGUUAAGAGUGCUCAGGCUGGGGGAGUCGGAGGAUGGGUGACCGUUCGGGAAGUUAGAUGAUUUGGAAUGAUGAGGGGUGAUUAGAGGAUAAAUUGAGAAGUGAUGAGGGGUGGUGAUUACAGACUAGAGGUUAAAAUAAUUCAGAAAUUUGAAAAUCAAAAAAAUUUCAAAAAAAAAUUUCAAAAAAAAAUUCAAAAAAAAUCAUAAAAUUUCCUUUAGUCGGUGGAGCUCCACGUGGCCGCGCCCUUUAGUCCCGGUUCUGGAUUGAACCGGGACUAAAGGGAUAGGCAUUAGUACCGACCCUUUAGUCCCGGGACUAAAGGCCCUUAUGAACCGGGACUAAAGGCCCUUUUUCUACUAGUGCUACCCAAUGAUACCUAUCAUAUUUACAGCAACAUUAUACAUUUUGUAGACAUGAAUUAAUAGUAGAAAUAUGAGAAUUGUAAGAAACUAAAAAAAUAAAUUACAUGAUUUCCAAAAUCCUCAAAUCUUAGCUUACAAAUGAGAAUAAAAAGUAUCUACUAUAAAACAACAAUAAACAUAAGGUUGCUACAAAUUGAUCCAAAUAGAAAUGUGUCAAACGAAAGUCUAAUCAAGUUGACCUAUAAUUGACAACAUAAUAUAAAUGUGUCAAAUGAAAGUAUAGCCAAGUACUAUAGCAGCAGCAGUAGAGGCCAUAUAAAUCCGCCAAAAAAUGGCAUCAUUAAUAAACAAUAUCCAUGACGCGAAGCCACUGCUCGUCUACCUGGAUGGCGUAAGCUUCUAACGUUCAUGUCUCAACAUGUUUACACAUGAAACUAAAUACUUAUCAAGGCACUGACAAUAGUAAACAACACCUGCUUGCCAAGUGAAACCGAAAUGGCAUGCAAAAUAACUAAGAGCUAUGGCCACUAAUAAAUCUAUACUAGUAACAAAUGGUUUCGUUAAGAGAUACGGAGAUAGUGGUUAGGACGUAUCAGUUAUUGGUCUUAACAACAUGCAUACUGGGAUUACUUUGAUUCGAGUGCAUAAGAACAUAAGUUUAACCACCAAGAUCCAUGUGGCACAAGCAAAUUAGUGGAAAAUCGCAUCCUCAUGAAAUAUGCGUCACUCUGAACUGGAUCAACCAAAUAGGUGCAUUUCAGUAGCAGUUCAGCUAGGGAAUGGAAAUAGCAGAGAAAUCAUAGGAAUGGCAGUAGAGAACUAACCCCUGGUUGAUCGCGGAGCAGCUCCAUCACUACCACCGUUGCUGCCCUCUCAAGCUCUAUUGUGUGCCAUGCAACGGCACGGCUGUUACGGCACUACCAGACCUGCAUCCCAAAAACAAGAGAUCAUAAUCAGACAAUUCAAGUGUUAAGUGAUUGAAAAAAGAGGAACAACAUCAAGAAAAAGAUUUAGGAUCACUAGCCAGUAGCACUAUUGAGGAGGGCAACCUAGGCAUGGAGCAAAGGAGUUGAAGAAAAAAUGUAUUGUGCCACUGUGUUGGCAAGUGCUAGCCCAGUUUGUGCCUCAAGACUGAGAGACAGUUUGCUAACACGUGGACUUGGUACUAGUACUUCUAGGUGCACAAUUAAUAGUAGUACUACUACUCUAAAUUGACUCACUAAUACAUAUGCUUCGUACACAUAUUUAAUAACAGGUUUAAACCUCUGUAUUCUAGCUGUAGGACUGCCACACUGUUGUAAUUUUCUUCUCAGAUUCAGAUUAAACUUAUUUCUGGAAUACAUAUUCACCAGGCUGCAGGACACAACAAGGACAGAAAAAGAAAUGGUUAGGGAGAAAACUCUAAACAGAAAAUGUCGACAUGUUAAUACAGUAACAAAAAUCUGCUCACCAGGACCUAGGGGAAAAUCUAAACCAAAUAGAUCUUGAUAGAAGGCCACAUACCACAGUGCAGCGGGUUAUCUCUACUUAGUUCCCUGCUGUUUGUCUCUAUUUGGUACCCUGCAGUGUACAAGAUACAGAGAAAAUAAAUUUCAGAGAGGAAGCACGCACACACAAGACACAGGCUGCUGAACCAAAGCCCUCGAUAGCAAUUGCUACCACCUUAUCAGCACGCAUAGACACACACCGUUAAGAGUUAGGGUAGGCAGUAGCCACACUAGGCAAUUAACCCUCACAGUGUUGGACCUUUCUUUAUCAAUUAUAUGAUAAAUGAAAUUGGGAGGGUUGCACGAUCCUACUUUCCAUUUUCCUUGUUAAAUCUUUAUUCUUAAUAUUGCAUUCUUUUUCAGAAAAUGAAGUACGACCUCACCAAUACAGAGUAUAAAUUAGUUGAUGAUAAAUUGAGAAGAUAUAUACAGUACACAAGGAUACAAAACCUGAACUUAAUAAUCCCAGCUCUACUAGCUGGCUCGGGUAUUCUGUCCUUUCGCAAAAAGAACUUGCAAAUAAAUAAAUGAAAUAGUUGUCUACAGAUAAUUUGCUUGAAUGAAUCAAGCCCAAAAAGACUAACGUCGAUCUCAGCAGAAUCUACAGGCAGCUAUCAAAUAUAUGAUGCGGAGUCAGAGACAAGAUGCUAGUUGGUUGUAAGAAUAGGAAAUAAGUACAGAGCAUUCAUACAAUCAGCAGGUCCACCGAUGAGCAUACACAACAUUAGUACACAACAUUAGUACUGGAUAGGUUUGCAAUUAUGGUGCGCAAUGUCCCAACAGGUAUAUCUGUAAAUAUGUAACCCAGCCAAACAAGAUAAGAAAAUCAUACGCUUAAACUGAACUGAGUUAUCUUGUAUCUCUAAUUAUUAUAUAGAUACUACAAAGUACACAAAGGACAUUAGAUAUUUCUGAAAUCAGGGGAAACUAUAACAACAAAUAGUAGCAUGGCCAUCAGAACACAACAUAGUUUCUGCAUCUGAAAUACGCAUUACACUGAAUCAUUGGGAGAAAAUUAGAGCAUCCACACAUGUAGCUAGCUUGACACCAAAACUAUUACUGCACACGGCAAAUAGAUGUUCUAUGCUUGCAAGAACCGGGACCUGUUCAGAUAUAUAUAGAUGAAGACGUUGAGUCAGUCAAAGCACAUCAUAACAAAAAAAGAAGAUGGCAGGAGGAGAGGAAGAUCGGGUUUGAGGUGCUCGCCUGGGCAAGGGAGGGCCUGCAGUGGUCCAAAUGCUGCAGAGGAGGUUGCCAUAGAAUGCACGGCCGCGUCUGAGCCGCGGCAGAGGAGGUCGAGGUCGCAGCCGUGCAGCCCGACGCACGUGAGCGAACCCAGCUAGGGGUUGCCAUCCAGGAGGCGGGGAGAGCACGAGGGCGCGCGGUCUGGAACACAGCGGAGUCAUCGGAGAUGCACCGGCGAUGGAGGCAACACCAUAGCCGAAACCCUGGCCACGGACUCAGGGUCGCGGGCGAGGUGGAUCUAGCCGGCCUGGAGGGCUAGGGUCGGAGACCAACUUGUGUGUUAUCUGUGAGAUGGUGAACAUCGUCGGAAUCGAUGGUUGUUGACCGUGCCGUGAGGGGUCAUACGGGAGAGAGAGAGAUUGUUUGUGACAGGGAUGGAUGGAUGGGGGAUGCGGCAGAUCUGGUAGCUGCCGGAGACGCUAGGUGAGAGGAGAGGAGGGGGAGGGGGAGGGAUGGCGGCGUGCGGUGGGAGGAGGGUGCGAGAAGGUGGUGGGUAGCGGUGAUGAGGAAUCGGGAGGGGGCUGCGGAGGAGGGAGAGAGGAUGAGGGUUAGAGUUAGUGCUUUAUAUGGGUAAAGGUUAGGCGGGCUUUGGCGGGCUUGCGGGGCUGUACCAUGACAUCCAUGACGGUUUUUGAAAAUGUCACCAGAAAUCCAUCAUAGAUUAACAGGUUUCUUGUGGUGAUUCUGAUGGACUUUUUGUUGGGGAACGUAGCAGAAUUUUAAAAUUUUCUACGCAUCACCAAGAUCAAUCUAUGGAGUCAUCUAGAAACGAGGGAGAGAGGAGUGCAUCUGCAUACCCUUGUAGAUCACGAGCGGAAGCGUUCAAGAGAACGGGGUUGAUGGAGUCGUACUCGACGUGAUCCAAAUCACCGAAGAUCCUAGUGCCGAACGGACGACACCUCCGCGUUCAACACACGUACGGAGCAAGGACGUCUCCCGCGCCUUGAUCCAGCAAGGAGGAGGGAGAGGUUGAGGAAGAGGGCUCCAACAGCAGCAUGACGGUGUGGUGGUGAUGAAGCUGCAGUACUCCGGCAGGGCUUCGCCAAGCUCUUAUGGAGGAGGAGAGGUGUUGGGGGGGGGGGCUGCGCCUUGGAUGUUGUAUGCAGCCCUCCCCUCACCCCUCUAUUUAUAGGGGAAAGGGGAAGGGGGCCGGCCACCUCUAGAUGAUAUCUAGAGGGGGGGCGGCGGCCAAGGGGAGGGGGGCUUGCCCCCCAAGCAUGGGGGUGCCCCCCCUUAGGGUUUCCCCCAACCCUAGGCGCAUGGGCCCUAGGGGGGUGUGGACCCCCGGAACCCCUCCGGUGGCCCCGGUACAAUACCGAUAUGCCCCCGAAACUUUCCGGCGACCAUAUGACAACUUCCCAUAUAUAAAUCUUUACCUCCAGACCAUUCCGGAACUCGUUGUGACGUCCGGGAUCUCAUCCGGGACUUCGAACAACAUUCGGUAAUCACAUACAAGUCUUCCUAACAACCCUAGCAUCACCGAACCUUAAGUGUGUAGACCCUACGGGUUCGGGAGACAUGCAGACAUGACCGAGACGACUCUCCGGUCAAUAACCAACAGCGGGAUCUGGAUACCCAUGUUGGCUCCCACAUGCUCCACGACGAUCUCAUCGGAUGAACCACGAUGUCGAGGAUUCAAUCAAUCUGUAUACAAUUCCCUUUGUCAAUCGGUACGUUACUUGUCCGAAACUCGAUCGUCGGUAUCCCAAUACCUUGUUCAGUCUCGUUACCGGCAAGUCACUUUACUCGUACCGUAAUGCAUGAUCCUGUGAUCGACCACUUGAUCACAUUGAGCUCAUUAUGAUGAUGCAUUACCGAGUGGGCCCAGAGAUACCUCUCUGUCAUACGGAGUGACAAAUCCCAGUCUCGAUUCGUGCCAACCCAACAAACACUUUGGGAGAUACCUGUAAUGUACCUUUAUAGUCACCCAGUUACGUUGUGACGUUUGGUACACCCAAGGCACUCCUACGGUAUCCGGGAGUUGCAUAAUCUCAUGGUCUAAGGAAAUGAUACUUGACAUUCAGAAAAGCUACAGCAAACGAACUACACAAUCUUUGAGCUAAGCUUAGGAUUGGGUCUUGUCCAUCACAUCAUUCUCCUAAUGAUGUGAUCCCAUUAUCAAUGACAUCUAAUGUCCAUAGUCAGGAAACCAUGACUAUCCUUUGAUCAACGAGCUAGUCAACUAGAGGCUCACUAGGUACGUGUUGUGGUCUAUGUAUUCACACAUGUAUUACGAUUUCCGGAUAACACAAUUAUAGCAUGAACAAUAGACAAUUAUCAUGAACAAAGAAAUAUAAUAAUAACCAUUUUAUUAUUGCCUCUAGGGCAUAUUUCCAACAGUCUCCCACUUGCACUAGAGUCUAUAUUCUAGUUACAUUGUGAUGAAUCGAACACCCAUGCAGUUCUGGUAUUGAUCACGUUUUGCUCUAGGGAGAGGUUUAGUCAACGGAUCUGCUACAUUCAGCUCCGUAUGUACUUUACAAAUCUCUAUGUCUCCAUUUUGAACACUUUCACGAAUUGAGUUGAAGCGGCGCUUGAUAUGCCCGGUCUUCCUGUGAAACCUGGGCUCCUUGGCAAGGGCAAUAGCUCCAGUGUUGUCACAAAAGAGGGUCAUGGGGCCCGACGCAUUGGGUAUGACUCCUAGGUCGGUAAUGAACUCCUUCACCCAGACUGCUUCUUGUGCUACCUCCGAGGCUGCCAUGUACUCCGAUUCACAUGUAGAUCCCGCCACAACGCUUUGCUUGCAACUGCACCAGCUUACUACCCACCAUUCAAAAUAUACACGUAUCCGGUUUGUGACUUAGAGUCAUCCAGAUUUAUGUCGAAGCUAGCAUCGACGUAACCCUUUACAACGAGCUCUUCGUCACCUCCAUAAACAAGAAACAUUUCCUUCGUCCUUUUCAGGUACUUCAGGAUAUUCUUGACCGCUGUCCAGUGUUCCAUGCCGGGAUUACUUUGGUUCCUUCCUACCAAACUCACGGCAAGGUUUACAUCAGGUCUGGUACACAACAUAGCAUACAUGAUAGACCCUAUGGCCGAGGCAUAGGGGACGACACUCAUCUUUUCUCUAUCUUCUGUCGUGGUCGGGCAUUGAUCCGUGCUCAAUCUCGUACCUUGCAAUACAGGCAAGAACCCCUUCUUUGACUGAUACAUUUUGAACUUCUUCAAUAUCUUGUCAAGGUACAUACUUUGUGAAAGACCAAUGAGGCGUCUCGAUCUAUCUCUAUAGAUCUUGAUGCCUAAUAUAUAAGCAGCUUCUCCAAGGUCCUUCAUUGAAAAACACUUGUUCAAGUAGGCCUUUAUGCUUUCCAAGAAUUCUAUAUCAUUUCCCAUCAACAUUAUGUCAUCCACAUACAAUAUGGGAAAUGCUACAGAGCUCCCACUCACUUUCUUGUAAAUGCAGGCUUCUCCAUAAGUCUGCAUAAACCCAAACGCUUUGAUCAUCUCAUCAAAACGAAUGUUCCAACUCCAAGAUGCUUGCACCAGCCCAUAAAUCGAGCAUUGGAGCUUGCACACCUUGUCAGCAUUCUUAGGAUCGAUAAAACCUUCCGGCUGCAUCAUAUGCAAUUCUUCCUUAAGGAAACCAUUAAGGAAUGCCGUUUUGACGUCCAUUUGCCAUAUCUCAUAAUCAUAGAAUGUGGCAAUUGCUAACGUGAUUCAGACGGACUUCAGCUUCGCUACGGGUGAGAAAGUCUCAUCGUAGUCAACCCCUUGAACUUGUCGAUAACCCUUAGCGACAAGCCGAGCUUUAUAGAUGGUCACAUUACCAUCCGCGUCUAUCUUCUUCUUAAAGAUCCAUUUAUUUUCUAUGGCUCGCCGAUCAACGGGCAAGUCAGUCAAAGUCUAUACUUCAUUUUCAUACAUGGAUCCUAUCUCGGAUUUCAUGGCUUGCAGCCAUUUGUCGGAAUCCAGGCCCGCCAUCGCUUCUUCAUAGUUCGAAGGUUCACCGUUGUCUAACAACAUGAUUUCCAAGACAGGGUUGCCGUACCACUCUGGUGCGGAACGUGUCCUUGUGGACCUACGAAGUUCAGUAGCAACUUGAUCUGAAGUUUCAUGAUCAUCAUCAUCAACUUCCUCUCUAGUCGGUGCAGGCACCUCAGGAACAUUUUCUUGAGCUGCGCCACUUACCGGUUCAAGAGGUAAUACUUCAUCAAGUUCUACCUUCCUCCCACUUAUUUCUUUCGAGAUAUACUCUUUCUCUAGAAAGGACCCAUUCUUGGCAACAAAGAUCUUGCCUUCGGAUCUGAGGUAGAAGGUAUACCCAACAGUUUCUUUAGGGUAUCCUAUGAAGACGCAUUUUUCCGACUUGGGUUCGAGCUUUUCAAGUUGAAGUUUCUUGACAUAAGCAUCGCAUCCCCAAAUUUUUAGAAACGACAGCUUAGGUUUCUUCCCAAACCAUAACUCAUACGGUGUCGUCUCAACGGAUUUCGACGGAGCCCUAUUUAAAGUGAAUGCGGCAGUCUCUAAAGCAUAGCCCCAAAAUGAUAGCGGUAAAUCGGCAAGAGACAUCAUAGAUCGCACCAUAUCUAAUAGAGUGCGAUUACGACGUUCGGACACACCAUUACGCUAUGGUGUUCUAGGCGGCGUGAGUUGUGAAACUAUUCCACAUUUUCUUAAGUGUGUGCCAAAUUCGUGACUCAAGUAUUCUCCCCCACGAUCUGAUCGCAAGAACUUGAUUUUCCUGUCACGUUGAUUCUCAACCUCACUCUGAAAUUCCUUGAACUUUUCAAAGGUCUCAGACUUGUGUUUCAUUAAGUAGACAUACCCAUAUCUACUCAAGUCAUCAGUGAGGGUGAGAACAUAACGAUAGCCACCGCGAGCCUCAACACUCAUUGGACCGCACACAUCAGUAUGUAUGAUUUCCAAUAAGUUGGUUGCUCGCUCCAUUGUUCCUGAGAAUGGAGUCUUGGUCAUCUUACCCAUGAGGCAUGGUUCGCACGUGUCAAAUGAUUCGUAAUCAAGAGACUCUAAAAGUCCAUCUGCAUGGAGCUUCUUCAUGCGUUUGACACCUAUGUGACCAAGGCGGCAGUGCCACAAGCAUGUGGGACUAUCAUUAUCAACCUUACAUCUUUUGGUAUUGACACUAUGAAUAUGUGUAGCAUUACGCUCGAGAUUCAUACCAUUCACCAUCGGAGCAUGACCAUAAAACAUAUCUCUCAUAUAAAUAGAACAACCAUUAUUCUCGGAUUUAAAUGAGUAGCCAUCUCGUAUUAAACGAGAUCCUGAUACAAUGUUCAUGCUCAAAGCUGGCACUAAAUAACAAUUAUUGAGGUUUAAAACUAAUCCCGUAGGUAAAUGUAGAGGUAGCGUGCCGACGGCGAUCACAUCGACCUUGGAACCAUUCCCGACACGCAUCGUCACCUCGUCCUUUGCCAGUCUCCGUUUAUUCCGCAGCUCCUGCUUUGAGUUACAAAUGUGAGCAACCGCACCGGUAUCAAAUACCCAGGAGCUACUACGAGUACUGGUAAGGUACACAUCAAUUACAUGUAUAUCACAUAUACCUUUCAUGAUGCCGGCCUUCUUGUCCGCUAAGUAUUUGGGGCAGUUCCGCUUCAAGUGACCACUUCCCUUGCAAUAAAAACACUCAAUCUCGGGCUUGGGUCCAUUCUUUGGCUUCUUCCCGGUAGCUUGCUUACCAGGCGCGGCAACUCCCUUGCCGUCCUUGUUGAAGUUCUUCUUACCCUUGCCUUUCUUGAACUUAGUUGUUUUAUUCACCAUCAACACUUGAUGUUCCUUUUUGACUUCUACCUCUGCUGAUUUUAGCGUUGCAAAUACUUCAGGAAUGGUCUUUUCCAUCCCCUGCAUAUUGAAGUUCAUCACAAUGCUCUUGUAGCUCGGUGGAAGCGACUGAAGGAUUCUGUCAAUGACCGCGUCAUCUGGGAAAUUAACUCCCAGCUGAGUCAAGCGGUUAUGCAACCCAGACAUUUUGAGUAUGUGCUCACUGAGAGAACUAUUUUCCUCCAUCUUACAGCUGAAGAACUUGUCGGAGACUUCAUAUCUCUCGACCCGGGCAUGAGCUUGAAAAACCAUUUUCAGCUCUUCGAACAUCUCAGAUGCUCCGUGUCUCUCAAAACGCUUUUGGAGCCCCGGUUCUAAGCUGUAAAGCAUGCCGCACUGAACGAGGGAGUAAUCAUCAGCACGUGUCUGCCAAGAGUUCAUAACGUCUUGGUUCUGUGGGACGGGUGCGUCACCUAGCGAUGCUUCUAGGACAUAAUCUUUCUUGGCAGCUAUGAGGAUGAUCCUCAGGUUCCGGACCCAGUCCAUAUAGUUGCUGCCAUCGUCUUUCAGCUUGGUUUUCUCUAGGAACGCGUUGAAGUUGCGGACAACGUGGGCCAUUUGAUCUACAAGACAUAUUGUAAAGAUUUUAGACUAAGUUCAUGAUAAUUAAGUUCAUCUAAUCAAAUUAUUAAAUGAACUCCCACUCAGAUAGACAUCCCUCCAGUCAUCUAAGUAUAACAUGAUCCGAGUUAACUAGACCGUGUCCGAUCAUCACGUGAGACGGACUAGUCAACAUUGGUGAACAUCUUCAUGUUAAUCGUAUCUUCUAUACGACUCAUGCUCGACCUUUCGGUCUUCUGUGUUCUGAGGCCAUGUCUGUACAUGCUAGGCUCGUCAAGUCAACCUAAGUGUAUUGCGUGUGUAAAUCUUUCUUACACCCGUUGUAUUCAAACGUUAGAAUCUAUCUCACCCGAUCAUCACGUGGUGCUUUGAAACAACGAACCUUCGCAACGGUGCACAGUUAUGGGGAACACUUUCUUGAAAUUAUUAGGAGGGAUCAUCUUAUUUAAGCUAUCGUCGUUCUAAGCAAAUAAGAUGUAAAACAUGAUAAACAUCACAUGCAAUCAAAUAGUGACAUGAUAUGGCCAAUAUCAUUUGCUCCUUUGAUCUCCAUCUUCAGGGCUCCAUGAUCAUCAUUGUCACCGGCAUGACACCAUGAUCUCCAUCAUCAUGAUCUCCAUCAUCGUGUCUUCUUGAAGUUGUCUUGUUAUCUAUUACUUCUACUACUAUGGCUAACGCUUUAGUAAUAAAGUAAAGUAAUUACAUGACGUUUAUGUUGACACGCAGGUCAUAAAUAAAUAAAGACAACUCCUAUGGUUCCUGCCGGUUGUCAUACUCAUCGACAUGCAAGUCGUGAUUCCUAUUACAAGAACAUGAUCAAUCUCAUACAUCACAUAUAUCAUUCAUCAUUCAUCACAACCUUUGGCCAUAUCACAUCACAAAACACUUGCUGCAAAAACAAGUUAGACGUCCUCUAAUUGUUGUUGCAAGUUUUUGCGUGGCUGCUAUAGGUUUCUAGCAAGAACGUUUCUUACCUACGCCAAAACCACAAUGAGAAUUGCCAAUUUCUAUUUACCCUUCAUAAGGACCCUAUUCAUCAAAUCCGAUCCAACUAAAGUGGGAGAGACAGACACCCGCCAGCCACCUUAUGCAACUAGUGCAUGUCAGUCGGUGGAACCGGUCUCACGUAAGCGUACGUGUAAGGUUGGUCUGGGCCACUUCAUCCCACGAUGCCGCCGAAGCAAGAUAAGACUAGUAACGGCAAGCAAAUUGACAAUAUCGACGACCACAACUACUUUGUGUUCUACUCAUCCAUAGUAACUACGCAUAGACCUAGCUCUGAUACCACUGUUGGGGAACGUAGCAGAAUUUUAAAAUUUUCUAUGCAUCACCAAGAUCAAUCUAUGGAGUCAUCUAGCAACGAGGGAGAGAGGAGUGCAUCUACAUACCCUUGUAGAUCACGAGCGGAAGCGUUCAAGAGAACGGGGUUGAUGGAGUCGUACUCGACAUGAUCCAAAUCACCGAAGAUCCUAGUGCCGAACGGACGGCACCUCCACGUUCAACACACGUACGGAGCGAGGACGUCUCCCGCGCCUUGAUCCAGCAAGGAGGAGGGAGAGGUUGAGGAAUAGGGCACCAACAGCAGCACGACGGUGUGGUGGUGAUGAAGUUGCAGUACUCCGGCAGGGCUUCGCCAAGCUCUUAUGGAGGAAAGGUGUUGGGGAGGGGAGGGGCUGCGCCUUGGAUGCUGUAUGCAGCCCUCCCCUCACCCCUUUAUUUAUAGGGGAAAGGGGAAGGGGGCCGGCCCCCUCUAGAUGAGAUCUAGAGGGGGGCGGCGGCCAAGGGGAGGGGGGCUUGCCCCCCAAGCAAGGGGGCGCCCCUCUUAGGGUUUCCCCCAACCCUAGGUGCAUGGGCCCUAGGGGGGUGUGGCGCCCCAGCCCACUUGGGCUGGUUCCCUUCUCCAUACAGCCCAUAAGGCCCUCCGUAAGAGGUGGACCCUCCCGGUGGACCCCCGGAACCCCUCCGGUGGCCCCGGUACAAUACCGAUAUGCCCCCGAAACUUUCCGGCGACCAUAUGACAACUUCCCAUAUAUAAAUCUUUACCUCCGGACCAUUACGGAACUCCUCGUGACGUCCGUGAUCUCAUCCGGGACUCCGAACAACAUUCAGUAAUCACAUACAAGUCUUCCUAACAACCCUAGCAUCACUGAACCUUAAGUGUGUAGACCCUACGGGUUCGGGAGACAUGCAGAUAUGACCGAGACGACUCUCCGGUCAAUAACCAACAGCGGGAUCUGGAUACCCAUGUUGGCUCCCACAUGCUCCACGAUGAUCUCAUCGGAUGAACCAUGAUGUCGAGGAUUCAAUCAAUCCGUAUACAAUUCCCUUUGUCAAUCGGUACGUUACUUGUCCGAGACUCGAUCGUCGGUAUCCCAAUACCUUGUUCAGUCUCGUUACCGGCAAGUCACUUUACUCGUACCGUAAUGCAUGAUCCUGUGAUCAACCACUUGAUCACAUUGAGCUCAUUAUGAUGAUGCAUUACCGAGUGGGCCCAGAGAUACCUCUCCGUCAUACGGAGUGACAAAUCCCAGUCUCGAUUCGUGCCAACCCAACAAACACUUUCGGAGAUACCUGUAAUGUACCUUUAUAGUCACCCAGUUACGUUGUGACGUUUGGCACACCCAAGGCACUCCUACGGUAUCCGGGAGUUGCACAAUCUCAUGGUCUAAGGAAAUGAUACUUGACAUUCAGAAAAGCUACAGCAAACGAACUACACGAUCUUUGAGCUAAGCUUAGGAUUGGGUCUUGUCCAUCACAUCAUUCUCCUAAUGAUGUGAUCCUGUUAUCAAUGACAUCUAAUGUCCAUAGUCAGGAAACCAUGACUAUCCUUUGAUCAACGAGCUAGUCAACUAGAGGCUCACUAGGGACGUGUUGUGGUCUAUUUAUUCACACAUGUAUUACGAUUUCCGGAUAACACAAUUAUAGCAUGAACAAUAGACAAUUAUCAUGAACAAAGAAAUAUAAUAAUAACCAUUUUAUUAUUGCCUCUAGGGCAUAUUUCCAAAUCUUUUGGAAUCACUUGAUUAUGAAUCACUUGGUACUUGCGAACCAUGCCUCAUGGGCAAGAUGACUAAAACGCCGUUCUCCGGAACUAUGGAGCGAGCAACAGAUUUGUUAGAAAUCAUACAUACUGAUAUGUGUUGGCCGAUGAAUAUUGAGGCUCGUGGCGGGUAUCGUUAUUUUCCCAUCUUCACAGAUGAUUUGAGCAGAUAUGGGUAUAUCUAGCUACUUGAUGAAACAUAAGUAUGAAACAUUUGAAAAGUUCAAAGAAUUUUAGAGUGAAGUGGAAAAUCAUUGUAACAAGAAAAUAAAGUUUCUACGAUCUGAUCGUGGAGGAUAAUGUUUGAGUUACGAGUUUGGUCUUCAUUUGAAACAAUGCGGAAUAGUUUCGCAACUCACGCCACCCGGAACACCACAGCGUAAUGGUGUGUCCGAACGCCGUAAUUGUACUAUACUAGAUAUGGUACGAUCUAUGAUGUCUCUUAUUGAUUUAACGCUAUCAUUUCGGGGUUAUGCUUUAGAGAUGGCUGCAUUCACGUUAAAUAGGGCACCAUCUAAAUCCAUUGAGACAACACCUUAUGAACUGUGGUUUGACAAGAAACCAAAGUUGUCAUUUCUUAAAGUUUGGGGCUGUGAUGCUUAUGUGAAAAAGCUUCAACCUGAUAAGCUCGAACCCAAAUCGGAGAAAUGUGUCUUCAUAGGAUACCCAAAGGAGACUGUUGGGUACACCUUCUAUCACAGAUCCGAAGGCAAGACAUUCGUUGCUAAGAAUGGAUCCUUUCUAGAGAAGGAGUUUCUCUCGAAAGAAGUGAGUGGGAGGAAAGUAGAACUUGAUGAGGUAAUUGUAUCUGCUCCCUUAUUGGAAAGUAGUUCAUCACAGAAAUCUGUUCCUGUGACUCCUACACCAAUUAGUGAGAAGCUAAUUAUGAAGAUCAUGUAAAUUCAGAUGAACUUACUACCGAACCUCGUAGGUUAACCAGAGUAAGAUCCGCACCAGAGUGGUACAGUAAUCCAGUUCUGGGGGUCAUGUUACUUGACCAUGACGAACCUACGAACUAUGAGGAAGCGAUGAUGAGCCCAGAUUCCGCAAAAUGGCUUGAGGCCAUGAAAUCUAAGAUGGGAUCCAUGUAUGAGAACAAAGUGUAGACUUUGGUUGACUUGCCUGAUGAUCGGCAAGCCAUCGAGAAUAAAUGGAUCUUCAAUAAGAAGCCUGACGCUGACGGUAAUGUUACUGUCUACAAAGCUCGACUUCAUUACCAGAUUGUGUUUCAGCAUCAGAAAUAGAAAUAUCAUUUGGAUUCUCAGGUGUUUCAGUAAUAGGUUCACUAGAAGCAUGCAAAGUCCUAUCAUUUUUCUUUUUCUUCCUUUUAGAAGGACUAGGUGCAUCUAUAUUAUUUCUCUGAGAAUCUUGCUCAAUUCUCUUAGGGUGGCCUUCAGAUGCAGAGAUUCCUGAGUCAUUCUACCAGUUCUAGUAGCCACUCUAACAGCAUAAUCAUUAUUCUUACUAUUCAAUUCAUUGUGCAAAUCAUUUUGAGCUUUAAGUACUUGUUCUACUUGAGUGGUAACCAUAGAAGCAUGUUUAAUAAUAAGUUUAAGUUCACCUUUGACAUUAGCCAUAUAAUCACCCAAGUGUUCAAGCAUAUUUGAAUUGUAUUUCAAUUGUCUACCAAAAUAAGCAUUAAAAUCUUCUUGCUUCACCAUAAAAUUAUCAAACUCAUCUAAGCAUUGGCUAGCAAACUUAGUAAGACGGAUUUUAGCUUUAUCAUAUCUAUAGAGAGAAUUUACCUUUACUACCUGUGUCGGGUUAUCAAGACCAUGUAUUUCUUCAAUAGGUAAUAUAUUAAGAUCAUAUGUUUCUUCAACAUGCGGUAAAUUAAGACCGUGUAUUUCUUCAAUAGGAGGUAAAUUCUUAACAUCUUCAUCUUUAAUACCUUUUUCUUUCAAAGAUUUCUUUUCCUCUUGCAUAUCUUCAGGACUGAGAAAUAGAACACCUCUUUUCUUCGGAGUUGGUUUAUGAAUAGGCUCAGGCAGUGUCCAAUUAUUUUCAUUUGUCAACAUAUUAUUCAAUAGAAUUUCAUCUUCAUCCGAUGUUCUUUCCCUAAAAACAGAACCAGCACAACUAUCCAGGUAAUCUCUGGAAGCAUCGGUUAGUCCAUUAUAAAAGAUAUCAAGUAUUUCAUUUUUCUUAAGAGGAUGAUCAGGCAAAGCAUUAAGUAACUUGAGAAGCCUCCCCCAAGCUUGUGGGAGACUCUCUUCUUCACUUUGCACAAAAUUAUAUAUAUCCCUCAAAGCAGCUUGUUUCUUAUGAGUAGGGAAAUAGCUAGCAGAGAAGUAAUAAAUCAUAUCCUGGGGACUACGCACACAACCAGGAUCAAGAGAAUUAAACCAUAUCUUAGCAUCACCCUUUAAUGAGAAUGGAAAUAUUUUAAUGAUAUAAAGGUAGCGCGAUUUCUCAUCAUUAUUGAACAGGGUGGUAUUAUUUAAUUUAGUAAGAUGUGCCACAACAGUUUCAGAUUUAUAGCCAUGAAAAGGAUCAGAUUCAACCAAAGUAAUUAUAUCAGGAUCAAUAGAGAAUUCAUAAUGCUUAUCAGUAACACAGAUAGGUGAAGUAGCAAAAGCAGGGUCAGGUUUCAUUCUAGCAUUAAGAGAUUGCUGCUUCCAUUUAGCUAAUAACCUCUUGAGCUCGUAUCUAUGUUUCCAAGCUAAAAUAGCUAAAGCAGCUUCCUUUUCAGAAACAUAACCCUCAGGAAUAACAGGUGAUUCAUAUUUAUUAGGGGAGAGUCUUCAUCAUCACUUUCAUCAAUGUUAUCAGUUUCAAUAAUUUCAUUCUCUCUAACCCUAGCAAGUUGUUCAUCAAGAAAUUCACCAAGUGGCACAGUAGUAUCAAGCAUAGAAGUAGUUUCAUCAUAAGUAUCAUGCAGAGCAGAAGUGGCAUCAUCAAUAACAUGUGACAUAUCAGAACGAAUAGCAGAAGCAGGUUUAGGUGUUGCAAGCUUACUCAAAACAGAAGGUGAAUCGAGUGCAGAGCUAGAUGGUAGUUCCUUACCUCCCCUCGUAGUUGAGGGAUAAAUCUUGGUUUUUGGAUCUCUCAAGUUCUUCAUAAUGAUAGGCAAAUAUAAAUCCCAUGUGACUCAAAUAAUAGAGCUAUGCUCCCGGCAACGGCGUCAGAAAAUAGUCUUGACAACCCACAAGUAUAGGGGAUUGCAACAGUUUUCGAGGGUAGAGUAUUCAACCCAAAUUUAUUGAUUCGACACAAGGGGAGGCAAAGAAUAUUAUCAAGUAUUAGUAGCUGAGUUGUCAAUUCAACCACACCUGGAAACUUAAUAUCUGUAGCAAAGUGUUUAGUAGCAAAGUAAUAUGAUAGUAGUGGUAACGAUAGCAAAAGGUAAUGGUAGCAAAAGUACUGUUUUGGUACUUUGUAGUGAUGAUAGCAAUAGCAACGGAAAAGUAAAUAGGCGAAGAACAAUAUAUGAAAAGCUCGUAGGCAAUGGAUCGGUGAUAGAGAAUUAUGCCGAAUGCAGUUCAUCAUGUAACAGUCAUAACCUAGGGUGACACAGAACUAGCUCCAAUUCAUCAAUGUAAUAUAGGCAUGUAUUCCGAAUAUAGUCAUACGUGCUUAUGGAAAAGAACUUGCAUGACAUCUUUUGUCCUAUCCUCCCGUGGCAGGGGGGUCCUAAUGGAAACUAAGGGAUAUUAAGGCAUCCUUUUAAUAGAGUAGCGGACCAAAGCAUUAACACAUAGUGAAUACAUGAACUCCUCAAACUACGGUCAUCACCGGGAGUGGUCCCAAUUAUUGUCACUUCGGGGUUGCUGGAUCAUAACACAUAGUAGGUGACUAUAGACUUGCAAGAUAGGAUCAAGAACUCAAAUAUAUUCAUGAAAACAUAAUAGGUUCAGAUCUGAAAUCAUGGCACUCGGGCCCUAGUGACAAGCAUUAAGCAUAGCAAAGUCAUAGCAACAUCAAUCUCAGAACAUAGUGGAUACUAGGGAUCAAACCCUAACAAAACUAACUCGAUUACAUGAUAAAUCUCAUCCAACCCAUCACCGUCCAGCAAGCCUACAACGGAAUUACUCACGCACGGCAGUGAGCAGCAUGAAAUUGGUGAUGGAGGAUGGUUGAUGAUGACGAUGGCGACGGAUUCCCCUCUCUGGAGCCCCGAACGGACUCCAGAUCAGCCCUCCCGAGAGGUUUUACGGCUUGGCGGCGGCUCCGUAUCGUAAAACGCGUUGAAUCCUUCUCUCUUAUUUGUUCUCCCGAAAGCAAAUAUAUAGAGUUGGAGUUGAGGUCGGAGGAGCUCCAGGGGGCCCAUGAGGUAGGGGGCGCGACGUGGGGGCAGACGCGCCCCCACCCUCGUGGCUAGGGUGUGGGCCCCCUGUUCUUCAUCUUUUGCAAGGAUUUUUUAUUAUUUCCAAAAAUACGUUCCGUGAAGUUUCAGGUUAUUCCGAGAACUUCUAUUUCUGCACAUAAAUAACACCAUGGUAAUUCUGCUGAAAACAGCGUCAGUCCGGGUUAGUUUCAUUCAAAUCAUGCAAGUUAGAGUCCAAAACAAGGGCAAAAGUGUUUGGAAAAGUAGAUACGACGGAGACGUAUCAACUCCCCCAAGCUUAAACCUUUGCUUGUCCUCAAGCAAUUCAGUUGAUAAACUGAAAGUGAUAAAGAAAUUUUUUUACAAACUCUGUUUGCUCUUGUUGUUGUAAAUAUGUAAAGUCAACAUUCAAGUUUUCAGCAAAGAUUAUUAACUAACCAUAUUCACAAUAACGCAUAGGUCUCAUGUUUACUCAUAUCAAUGGCAUAAUCAACUAGCGAGCAAUAAUAAUAAAUCUCAGAUGACAACACUUUCUCAAAACAAUCAUAAUAUGAUAUAAUAAGAUGGUAUCUCGCUAGCCCUUUCUGAGACCGCAAAACAUAAAUGCAGAGCACCUUUAAAGAUCAAGGACUGACUAGACAUUGUAAUUCAUGGUAAAAGAGAUCCAGUCAAGUCAUACUCAAUGUAAACUAAUAGUAAUGAAUGCAAAUGACAGCGGUGCUCUCCAACUGGUGCUUUUUAAUAAGAGGAUGAUGACUCAACAUAAAAGUAAAUAGAUAGGCCCUUCGCAGAGGGAAGCAGAGAUUUGUAGAGGUGCCAGAGCUCGGUUUUGAAACAGAGGUGAAUAAUAUUUUGAGCGGUAAACUUUCAUUGUCAACAUAACAACCAAGAGAUGGCGAUAUCUUCCAUGCUACAAACAUUAUGGGCGGUUCCCAAAUAGAAUGGUAAAGUUUAUACUCCCCCUCCACCAACAAGCAUCAAUCCAUGGCUUGCUCGAAACAACGAGUGCCUCCAACUAACAAGAGUCCCAGGUGGAGUUUUGUUUGCAAUUAUUUUGAUUUAGUUUGCAUAAAGCAUGGGACUGGGCAUCCCGAUGACCAGCCAUUUUCUUGUGAGUGAGGAGCAGAGUCCACUCCUCUUGAGAAUAACCCGCCUAACAUGGAAGAUCCGGACAUCCCUAGUUGAUACAUGAGCUAUUCGAGCAUACAAAACAGGAUAUUUAUUUGAAGGUUUGGAGUUUGGCACAUACAAAUUUACUUGGAACAGCGGGUAGAUACCGUAUAUAGGUAGGUAUGGUGGACUCAUAUGGAAUAACUUUGGGGUUUAUGGAGUUGGAUGCACAAGCAGUAUUCCCGCUUAGUACAGGUGAAGGCUAGAAAAAGACUGGGAAGCGACCAGCUAGAGAGCGACAACAGUCAUGAACAUGCAUUAAAAUUAAUCAACACCUAAUGCAAGAAUGAGUAGGAUAUAAUCCACCAUGAACAUAAAUAUCAUGAAGGCUAUGUUGAUUUUGUUUCAACUACAUGCGUGAACAUGUGCCAAUUCAAGUCACUUAAAUCAUUUAGAGGAGGAUACCACCCUAUCAUACCACAUCACAACCAUUUUAAUAGCAUGUAGGCACGCAAGGUAAACCAAUAUAAGCUCCUAGCUAAUCAAGCAUGUCACAAGAAACUAUGAUCUCUAGUUGUCACUGCAAUCAUGUUUAUUCAUAAUAGGCUGAAUCGGGAACGAUGAACUAAUCAUAUUUACAAAAACAAGAGAGGUCGAGUUCAUACCAGCUUUUCUAAUCUCAGUCAGUCCGUCAUAUAUCGUCAUAAUUGCCUUUCACUUGCACGAUCGAAUGUUGUGAAUAAUAAUAAUAAUAAUAAUAAUAAUAAUAAUAAUAAUAAUAAUAAUAAUAAUAAUAAUAAUAAUAAUAAUAAUAAUAAUAGUGCACAUGCAUUGGACUAAGCAGGAAUCUGCAAGCAUUCAAUAAAUAGGAGAAGACAAGGCAAUAUGGGCUCUUUUGUCAGAUCAACAAUAAUGCAUAUAAGAGCCACUUCAACAAUUUAAUCAUGGUCUUCUCCUUUCGACCCCCAAAGAAAAGAAAAGAAAUAAAACUAUUUACACGGGAAAGCUCCCAACAAGCAAAAGAAGAAAAGGAAAUAUUUUUGGGUUUUCUUUUUAAUUACUACUACAAGCAUGGAAAUUAAAACUAGCUAACUAAUUUUUUGGUUUUUCUUAAGGUUUAUUAAACACACAAGAAGAAAGCAUAAAAAGAGAAAAUAAACUAGCAUGGAUAUUACAAUGAAAAAGUAUGAGCACCGACAUCUAGCAAUGAGUGUGUGAACAUGAAUAUAAUGUCGGUGAGAAAUGCAUACUCCCCCAAGCUUAGGCUUUUGUCCUAAGUUGAUCUAUGGCCACGGUUGGCCUGGCGGAUAUCCAUAGUUGUAGCUGGGGUCGUACUGCGAUGCAGCGGCUAUUGCCUCCUGAGAUGCAGCAUGGUGGCAAGCUGCCUCCGCCCUCCUCUCGUACUCAUCUGCCUCCUCUCUGGUAAUAAAAUGUCUUCCUUUUGCCUGAUAAACAAAGAAGGUAGGAGCAGGGAGAGUAAUACGGACAGCACGACAUCUGUCAAAGAUUAAGCGAUACUGGAGAGGUGAUUCAUUCCUCUCGACAAACUGGUGGUGAACCAUAGCAUUAAAGUCUAGGUAAGCAGGAGGUAAUUCAAUAUCAUCAUUACGUAUAGUUACACCAAGAAAAUCAGCUAAGCGGGUUGCAUAAAUUCCACCAAAGAAAUCUCCAUUAAAUCUAUUAAGAUGCAACCUACGUGCUACAAUGGCUCCCAAAUUAUAAGAUUUAUCUCCUAACACUGCACUCCUAAGAAUACUAAGCUAAGGGACACACAUGUGACAUGCCUCAUCUUUACCAUCAAUUCAUCUACCUAUGAAGAGAGCAAAAUAAUGUAUAGCAGGAAAGUGAAUGCUCCCUAUGGUAGCUUGUAUUAUAUCUCUAGAUUCCCCCACAGUUAUACUAGCAAGAAAAUUUCUAAAUUCAGAUUUGCGAGGUUCCCUGACACUACCCCAUUGUGGAAGUUUGCAAGCAGUGGUAAAAUCCUCUAAGUCCAUAGUGUAAGAAUUUUCAUAAAGAUCAAACAGAACAGUUUGAGAAUUACAUGAAGAUGAAAAUUCAAACCUCCUCACAAAGGAACUAGUGAGAUAGUGGUACUGACGGCAUUAUUCUUCCUCGAAGCUCACAAGAUCAGCAUUACACAAAUAUACGUUAAAUUCUUCCUUAAUCCCCGCUCGAUCCAUGAAGUCCUCUGAAGGCCAUUCACAGGGCCGCACUAGAGCGUCCCUUGGUGGCUCAUCAUCAGCAUCACGCAUUGCAAGCUUGGGCUCUUGUGUCCUUGAAGAGACACCUUGGUACAUUUUCCUAAACAUAUUUCUUCCUCUGAAAAAAUUCUGAAAUUUUUAAUAACUUCAAAUAAAAGUGAGCCAAGCUCAACAAAAUUGAUAGCAACAACUCCUACAAGUGCCUAGAGCCUAUAUCAUGCAUUAGAACUACUUGGGACCAUAUAAAUUUGACAUGCAAGCUCAAGAACAGGGUCACCUAGGCAGCACAAAUUUGCAAUGAAUAAAGCACUAGAACAAAAACUAAUUGGACCAAUGGAGGAGUCACAUACCAAGGAACAAUCCCCCCAAGCAGUUUUGUGAGAGGUGCUUUGAGCAAGGAGAUCGAAAGUGGCAGCAAAUGAGCUUGGACUCGGCUUUGAACUGGAUAAUCGUGUUUGUGGGAGGAAGAAUGAGUGUGUGGGUGUAUGAAUAAGUGGAGGAGGGCCACCAUGGGCCCACGAGGCAGGGGACGCACCCAGGGUGGUAGGGCGCGCCCUCCACCCUCGUGGCCAGGUGGAUGCCCCUCCUGCUGUGUUCUCAGUGCCAAAUAUUCUCAAAUAUUCCAGAAAAAAUCAUAUUUAAAUUUCAGGGCAUUUGGAGAACUUUUAUUUUCGGAGUAUUUUUAUAUUGCACGGAUAAUUCAGAUAAUAGACAGAAAAAUAUUAUUUUUAUUUUAUUUAAUAUAAAUAACAGAAAGUAAAAGGAGGGUAUAGAAGGUUGUGCCUUCUAGUUUCAUCCAUCUCAUGCUCAUCAAAAGGAAUCCACUAACAAGGUUGAUCAAGUCUUGUUAACGAACUCAUUCCGAAUAACAUGGAACCGGAGAAAUUUCGAAUAACACUAUGUUAUCUCAACGGGGAUAUGCACAUCCCCAAUAAUAAGAAUAUCAUAUUUCUUCUUGACAGUAGGAAGAGGAAAUUCAAAACCUCUGAAUAUAAUCGAUGGAAUUUUUCCAAUAGAGUUGAUACUAUGAACUUGAGGUUGUUUCCUCGGAAAGUGUACCGUAUGCUCAUUACCAUUAACAUGAAAAGUGACAUUGCCUUUAGUGCAAUCAAUAACAGCCCCUGCAGUAUUCAAAAAGGGUCUUCCAAGAAUAAUAGACAUACUAUCAUCCUCAGGAAUAUCAAGAAUAACAAAGUCCGUUAAAAUAGUAACGUUUGCAACUACAACAGGCACAUCCUCACAAAUACCGAUAGGUAUAGCAGUUGAUUUAUCAGUCAUUUGCAAAGAUAUUUCAGUAGGUGUCAACUUAUUCAAAUAAAGUCUAGGAUAUAAAGAGAGAGGCAUAACACUAACACCGGCUCCAUGAUCACAUAAAGCAGUCUUAACAUAAUUUCUUUUAAUGGAGCAUGGUAUAGUUGGUACUCCGGGAUCUCCUAGUUUCUUAGGUAUUCUACCUUUAAAAGUAUAAUUAGCAAGCAUGGUGGAAAUUUCAGCUUCCGGUAUCUUUAUUUUAUUAGUAACAAUAUCUUUCAUGCACUUAGCAUAAGGAUUCAUUUUAAGCAUAUCAGUUAAUCGCAUACGCAAAAAGAUAGGUCUAAUCAUUUCAGCAAAGCGCUCAAAAUCCUCAUCAUCCUUUUUCUUGGAUGGUUUGGGAGGAAAAGGCAUGGGUUUCUGAACCCAUGGCUCUCUUUUUUUACCAUGUUUCCUAGCAACAAAGUCUCUCUUAUCAUAAAAUUGAUUCUUUGAUUGUGGAUUAUCAAGAUCAACAAUAGGUUCAAUUUCUAUAUCAUUAUCAUUGCUAGGUUGAGCAUCAACAUGAACAUUAUCAUUAACAUUAUCACUAGUUUCAGGUUCAUUACCAGAUUGUGUUUCAGCAUCAUAAAUAGAAAUAUCAUUUGGAUUCUCAGGUGUUUCAGUAAUAGGUUCACUAGAAGCAUGCAAAGUCCUAUCAUUUUUCUUUUUCUUCCUUUUAGAAGGACUAGGUGCAUCUAUAUUAUUUCUCUGAGAAUCUUGCUCAAGUCUCUUAGGAUGGCCUUCAGGAUACAGAGGUUCCUGAGUCAUUCUACCAGUUCUAGUAACCACUCUAACAGCAUAAUCAUUAUUCUUACUAUUCAAUUCAUUGAGCAAAUCAUUUUGAGCUUUAAGUACUUGUUCUACUUGAGUGGUAACCAUACAAGCAUGUUUACUAAUAAGUUUAAGUUCACCUUUGACAUUAGCCAUAUAAUCACCCAAGUGUUCAAGCAUAUUUGAAUUGUAUUUCAAUUGUCUACCAAAAUAAGUAUUAAAAUCUUCUUGCUUCACCAUAAAAUUAUCAAACUCAUCUAAGCAUUGGCUAGCAAACUUAGUAAGAGGGAUUUCAGCUUUAUCAUAUCUAUAGAGAGAAUUUACCUUUACUACCCGUGUCGGGUUAUCAAGACCAUGUAUUUCUUCAAUAGGUAAUAUAUUAAGAUCAUAUGCUUCUUCAACAGGCGGUAAAUUAAGACCGUGUAUUUCUUCAAUAGGAGGUAAAUUCUUAACAUCUUCAGCUUUAAUACCUUUUUCUUUCAAAGAUUUAUUUUCCUCUUGCAUAUCUUCAGGACUGAGAAAUAGAACACCUCUUUUCUUCGGAGUUGGUUUAGGAAUAGGCUCAGGAAGUGUCCAAUUAUUUUCAUUUGUCAACAUAUUAUUCAAUAGAAUUUCAGCUUCAUCCAGUGUUCUUUCCCUUAAAACAGAACCAACACAACUAUCCAGGUAAUCUCUGGAAGCAUCAGUUAGUCCAUUAUAAAAUAUAUCAAGUAUUUCAUUUUUCUUAAGAGGAUGAUCAGGCAAAGCAUUAAGUAACUUGAGAAGCCUCCCCCAAGCUUGUGGGAGACUCUCUUCUUCACUUUUCACAAAAUUAUAUAUAUCCCUCAAAGCAGCUUGUUUCUUAUGAGCAGGGAAAUAUUUAGCAGAGAAGUAAUAAAUCAUAUCCUGGGGACUAUGCACACAACCAGGAUCAAGAGAAUUAAACCAUAUCUUAGCAUCACCCUUUAAUGAGAAUGGAAAUAUUUUAAUGAUAUAAAGGUAGCGAGAUUUCUCAUCAUUAGUGAACAGGGUGGCUAUAUCAUUUAAUUUAGUAAGAUGUGCCACAACAGUUUCAGAUUCAUAGCCAUGAAAAGGAUUAGAUUCAACUAAAGUAAAUAUAUCAGGAUCAACAGAGAAUUCAUAAUCCUUAUCAAUAACACAGAUAGGUGAAGUAGCAAAAGCAGGGUCAGGUUUCAUUCUAGAAUUAAGAGAUUGCUGCUUCCAUUUAGCUAAUAACCUCUUGAGCUCGUAUCUAUCCUUGCAAGCUAAAAUAGCUAAAGCAGCUUCCUUUUCAAAAACAUAACCCUCAGGAAUAACAGGUGAUUCAUAUUUAUUAGGGGGAGAGUCUGCAUCAUCACUUUCAUCAAUGUUAUCAGUUUCAAUAAUUUCAUUCUCUCUAACCCUAGCAAGUUGUUCAUCAAGAAAUUCACCAAGUAGCACAGUAGUAUCAAGCAUAGAAGUAGUUUCAUCAUAAGUAUCAUGCAUAGCAGAAGUGGCAUCAUCAAUAACAUGCGACAUAUCAGAACGAAUACCAAAAGCAGGUUUAGGUGUUGUCAUGGAAUUGUCACGGCAGAUGUCCUAAAGCAAGGACUUAGUCGUAGGGCCAUCGCACUAGGAAGCUUAAAGGGGUUAAUCGGGACAAAGGACACGAGAGAGUUUUAUACUAGUUCGGCCCCUUACGAUGAAGGUAAAAGCCUACGUCUAGUUGGGCUUGGUAUUGCUGGGGUUUCGUUCACCAAGAGGCUUAACUCGCCGGCUUGGUUAUCGACUUGUUGUUUCUUGCCCUAAACCGCCACCGGGUCGUCCCCUUAUAUACAUGGGUUGACUUCUGGUGGCUUACAGAGUCCCGGCCGGCUCAUAAUCGUGUCCGGCUCGGUGACUUCUUCUACAUGCCUUUCUUUACAAGUCUUUCCAUUCCUAUAGCGGUUUACAAUAACGGGCUUUUAAGCCGGCCCGAGGCCUUUGGGAUUUCUACAUAUACCAAUAAACUAUCAUCUUGACUGUAUAUUGGGCUUCUUAUGUAACCCGCCAUUAAGGCUGACCCGGCCCCUCCUGGGCGGGUCUCAGCUGAUAAUAAUAUCACCAACAUUAGGCCCCAGGUUAACUUUGAACUUUGUUCUUUGUCAAUCUUCAAUACUUACACAAAAUCCAUCCUCUAUCUAAAAAUUUCCUUAACCCGUCGUGACAUCAUCUUUCUGAAACACAAAAAACUUUUAUGACGUCAUCUUUUAACGGAUCUUUCAUUUUUAAUGUCUUCCGGGAAUCGAGGCGUUUGUUCAGUUGGAUAAUCAUUAUUUAGUCUCUUGAUUUUCGCGCCCGCCUGUUCGCACACUCCCUUAUAAAUAGGCACGACCUAGGUUUUUUCCGUUCUCCCCCUUCGAUCGUCUUCUUCCUCUCACUGCUUCUCUGCUGCUCGAGCUCCGCCGCCGCCGCAGAUCUUGUCUUCAUCGACUCAGGCCGCCGCAUCAACCUAAUUAGAUCCGAAGAGACCGCAAUAAACCUUCGCUGCAACUCUGCAUCUGUAAGUCCCUUUCUUCUCGACAUCAGAUCCGCAUUAGAACCUUCGAGUUCCUUGGUGUUCUUUAUUGUUCUUCAUGAACUCAUUGUAGAUUUCAUCACCAUCGCCCUUUCUUGAUCUUUGGAUAGUAUAAAACUGAUGCGGCAGCUAUUUCGCCCCUACUUCAAAUGCCAACAAAUUAUUUUCCCUGUUCAGAGGCCUUGUUUAGCACUGACGAACUCAUCUGUGCCAGUUUUAGGUCUAGAUUUAUUUUCAUUUUUGGAACCAUCUUGAUCCAAAAUAAUAAUAACAACUUGUGAAACUUGUUUAUAUCAACACUUCACUGAAUUCUGUCUUCUGAGAAAAUCUGUAGUCAUGGCGGCUUACCACUCCGACUUUUCUUUUCCUUAUAUACCAUUAGCCCUUAGUUAAACCGCCAUUACUUGCUUUAUAAUCGACCGUAGAUUGAACCGGCAUAUUGUUACUUAUUUUUCAGUGUGUUGCACAUCAUGCCAUCGAAGUCACCGACCAUCUGUAACUGGGUCCCUUCUUUCGUAACUGAAGAACGGUUAAAAGAGUUCUGCAUCAUUGGGUUUCUUCCUUCAAAGAAUGUCAUGUCUUAUCAUGCUCCUGACCCGGAGGAAGAAUGUCCCAAUCCGAAAGAUGGAGAAGGAAUUAUCUUUACUGACCACAUGAACCGGGGAUUUUCACCACUUGGUUCAAAAUUCUUCAGAGAGGUCCUUCAUUUUUUCAAACUCCAUCCUCAGGACCUUGGACCCAACUCUAUUUCCAAUAUUUGUAACUUCCAAGUGCUCUGUGAGGCAUAUCUUCAUCAAGAGCCCACCGUAGAAUUGUUUAGAGAAUACUUUUAUCUGAAUCGCCAGAAUGAAUGCACCAACGGUUCUAGCUUAGAACUUGGAGGCAUCUUGAUUCAACAUCGGCAGGGUGCUAUUUUUCCACUCAUCGUCUUACCGAGCCACCCAAAAGAUUGGAACCAAACUUGGUUUUAUUGUCAGGAUACUUCUCCAGCGAACAAGAAGCCCCUACCGGGUUACCGCCCUAGCCGUCUUGAUUCCAAGUUUACCCUUCCAUAUAAGCUUACCGUCGUUGAGCGUAGGAAGCUUCUUCCCUCCAUUAGAAGAAUCAAUGGCUUAUUGGGUAAUGGUCUAACCAGAGUAGAUCUGACCCGUUACUGGAUCUCAUGGCGGGUUAUCCCAUUAAGUCGUCGAUCUCAACUGAUGUAUGAAUAUGACGGAAGUUCGGACCAUCCUCUUCGUCACGGCUCAGUUGAACUCACCGAAGAAGACAUUGUUUCGAUGUCAACCCUUUUGGUAAACGGGAAGUACGAAGAUUGCAGUAUUGUUGGGUUAAGUCCCUUCUGUAAGAUUAAUCCGGUGCCAGAAGUAAGUACAUUCUAAUAUCUUUUUCUUUGUGUUUUGCCCAGCUAUUAGUACUUAAUACUGAUCUUUCUUCUUGUUUUUACAGGCCAAUUCUGACUUCUGGAAGGUGAAAUAUGAUCAUGAAGCUGCCAAAAAGGCAAAACUCGCUGCCAUGAACACCAAGAAAACAGCCCGGAAAUCCAAGAAGAAGAAGAAGACAACCACUGCUGAAGAUUUAAUGAAGCUUGACGACUCGUCUGACUCGGAGGUAGCCCUUGACUCCCUUGGCCAAUUUUUUAACACUCUUAUUGACACUGAUCCUUACCAGGAUGACACUGGGGCCAGUCAGGCUGAGGAAGUAGAGGUAACUAUCAUUUCCUCUGACUCAGAGCCCUUACUGAGACACAAAGUUCAUCGAGUGAUCCGUAAAGUAAGGUUUUCUAACCCUUUAGCUCAUUUGGAUCCCAACUUUCAUUUGAAAAAGCAGCAACAUGAAAGCCGCCGUGAAGUUGGAACUGAGGAUGAACCGGCUGUUACCCUUCAACAGACCCCUCAGAAACGCCCGAACGAGGUUUAAUUAUUACUGUCUUUAACCCGUUGUAAUGAAUCCUGCUCCUUACAUUUCUUUUAACUCUUUCCUUUAUCUUUUCAGGAGGUGCCUCGUUCUUCGGAUGACUCAUCACAAACACAAUUUCCGGCUUUCAAGACUGCUCCUCGGUAAUUAAAAACCCUCUUUUCUUCCGAGUUUGAUCAAUUGUUAUCUUAAUACUGAUUAUCCUGCAAUAUUUUUCUUCAGUGGCCAAGCUAAGUCCAAGAAAGCGAAGGCAACAAAACCAAUGGAAGACCCGCCAGUACUGGCAUCUGAGCUGGCUAGGCCACCUUCUCCGUUGACUGUCGCCCCGGAAGACACGCCUAUCGUUCAUGAAGCAAAUCCUCCAGAGCCAUCCCUUGUCAAAAACACUAUUAACCCUUCUACAGCUGGUCCAUCAAGCUCAACCGGCCCACCGUCUCCCCGUGUUCAAGAUGUUCAAAUUACUAGGAGCCGCUAUGUUGAGCCGGGGAACCCGACGGUUUUGGCACGGUGCACCGCUAAGCAAGAAGCUUUGGAGAGGCGGAAGGUUCGUCUUGAUGUUGCCAAUUAUGACCAUCUUAACGCCAGUGAUAUCUUAUCCGGUUAUCUCAGUCAUGUACACUCCAGUCGUGAUUCUGAGAUUGAGAUGGUCAAGCAGCUUCAAUUGAAGUAUGAGGUAUGUAAUUUCUAGUUUAUCAAUAUUCCUUCAGCCCCCAAGUCUGUAGAUUAUGAGAGAAACAGAAUAACCUAUAGACUUAUAAUAUAUACUGAUACUUUUACCUCUGAGUCUUUGCUUGAUAUUGGUAGAACAAGACUUCACCCGUAGUCCCCAAAGACUGGUUUAUUUAAUCAUUACUGAAUCGGUACUUCAGAAUUGAGCACCAUCUGUAAAAUACUUAAUAUCCCGGUUUAAACUUGAAAAACUUGCUGAACUGCGUGCAUUAGCCCCCAAGUGCCAAGUGCUAUUACUUUUGUAAAGGACAUGGGACUUCAAAUAUGUUGGUAGAGUCAUAAAAAUUUGAUUUCACAUACAUUAGCCCCCAAGUGUCAAGUGGUUUAUUCAUAAAGUAUUUGAGACUUGAAUAUUUGAAAUUGGAUACUGGAAUUUGAAGCCAAGUCUUGAUUUAUGUGAAUGUUUUCACAGAAUGCAUUGUCUGAACUGAACUCCCAACUAACUGAUACAAAGACCCGGCUGGCGAACCAGAAAUUAAAUCUUCCACCUCCCAACUGCAAAUAAGUCUUUCUAAAACGGAGAAACUGAAGACUGACUUUGCUGUCAAAGAGAAAACUUGGGCAGAUGAGAAGAUACUGCUGACCCGGAGAGCUGAGACAGCCGAAACAGCUCUGACGGAAAUUUCAACCGAACUGAACAGUUUAAAAGGCCGGGUGUCUCAGAUGGUCGCUGCUAUCUUUGGUAAGCUUCCUGAUUUGAUCUUUCAUAUGUGUUUCCUGUCAAGCCGAAAUAUGACCCGUUAACUGACUUCGUGAAAAAUGCGUGUAGGUCCGCGAAGUAAGAAUCUAGACCAAGACCUGUUGAUUAAGAUGAAAGCCGUAUACACUUUAACUGCACAAUUGUAUAUCGGCGCACAACGAGCUCUGGCAGCCAUCUCUCCUGCUAAUCAAGGGUCUAACCGGAUCAGUGACGUCCUGAAGAGGUUGUCCAUUCUCCCUGCCAGAUUCCAAGAGGUGAAACGCUCCUGCGCACGAGCCGGAGCUUUGACUGCCCUAAGCCACUCCAAGGCUUGGGUACCAGAUCUAGACCCGUCAGACGUGGCAAGGGGUUAUCCUACCAUGAAGGAGGACGAGUCUCCUUUUGAUCAGGAUGACUUUAUAGCCUGCGUUCGUGAAGUCCGGCCUUAGGCGACUAGCCUUGGAGAUGACAGCAAUGUGGACAAGUAUCAACCGGAUUUUGACAGUGAAAAUAAGAAGAUGGCUCCUCCUUCCUAUAAAGUAACCGACUUGAUCCCGCCGGUGAGAGAAGACACAUUUGCCCCGGAGGUUGAUCCGGUCGGCCUGAUUGAUGAUGAAGCUGAAUUUGUCGCCAUGAACGACUAUGACUGGUCAAAGCCCAACUUCCAGCAGAUUCAAGAUGUUGAGCCAGUGAGCGAAGGACAAUGAUCAUCUUCAUGGGCUUUAGAAAGCCUUGUAAUAGCUUUAGCUAUUAAAAACACCACAUGUCUGCUUAUGCCAUCGCGCAUGAAACACUUCUAUGUGAAUCUAUGCUUCUGGGUGCCUCGUUUAAUGCUUGUCUUUGCAAUGUUUAAACUCUGUUCCUGUGAACACAAGGAAAAAGCUUGGCAAGGCGGUUUAAAACCAACUGGGCUUAAACACCUCAAAAAACAGAGACAAAUAUAAAUAAAGGAUAAGGCUUAAUACCAACUCUGAAUUUAACGCAGCCGAUAAGCGCGUGUAAGUAAAAACCAUACAUUAUCCUUGGUGAUCCUUAGAUCGCUGGUUUAAAUAACCCGUGUGAUGAAUUUGAGAAUUUCAAUAUAAAAGUUAAGACUUCUUGAACAGUCAAUAAUUAUCAUAUCUCAGUAGCUCGUACCUUCGGAUCCUUAGACCACCGGCCUGGAUAACCCGGGCGGCUGUGUUGUCCAAUAAUUGAGCCGGCGAAGAGAAACAGGCCAUCUCAUUUGUAAUAUUGAAACAACAAAAACUCAAAGGCAAGCAACAGAUAACAAACAUAAUUUUAACUCUGUAUUUCAAAGAUUGGGGGUUUCUGAUUCGAAUACGAUCAAUAAACCGGACCAAAGGGGUUAAGCUAAGGUUCGAAUACGACCAUAUAGCCCCUAGUGGCUUUGGCCUUGCGCCGAUCAAGAGGGUACCGGCAGCUAUGUUCUCUUUGGUUCGAAUACGACCUAUGUUUGAACAGGAAGCCCCCAAAUGACCUUGAGAGGUUUUUAACGACCCUGAUUCGAAUACGAUCGAAGUUGGCUCAAAAGGGGUUAAGCUAUGAUUCGAAUACGAUCAAGAAGCCCCCAAGUGAGUUUGGCCUUGGUCCGAUCAAAAGGGUUAUGACAGCUAUGUUCUCUUUGGUUUGAAUACAACCUAUGUUUGAACAGGAAGCCCCCAAGUGACCUUGAUAUUUACAGCUAGAUUCAAAUACGAUCAUAAGCCGGACUAGAAAAGGUUAAACUUGAUUCAAAUAUGAUUAGCUCCUUAAUAGUCAUUUAUGAAAAAGUAAUAAAGAUGCAUAAUCUUUGAAAAGAAAAGAGACCGAUGGUCUUACUUUAUUGCUUCUCAUCAUAUAUACAGGAUGAACGUAUGUACAGGAUGAGAGCCGGUGGCUCAGGUAUAGUACGGCCGAAGUUGAGCAAUGUUCCACGGCCGGCGGGUCUCCUCUUCCGACUUACGUGAGUCUGCUUGCUCUUGAACGUCAAUGAGGUAGUAAGACCCGUUGUUUAAAUUUUUACUGACCACAAAGGGUCCUUCCCAAGGUGGGGAUAACUUGUGUGCAUCUAAAAGAUCUUGGAUGAGCCGGAGCACCAAGUCGCCUUCUUGAAAAGUCCUGGACUUAACCCGACGGCUGUGAUAAUGACGCAGGUCCUGUUGAUAGAUUGCUGACCGUGCUGCUGCUAAGUCUCUUUCUUCAUCCAAUAAGUCAAGCGCAUCCUGUCUGGCUUUUUCAUUGUUAGCUUCAACAUAAGCCGCCACGCGGGGCGAGUCAUGACGAAUGUCACUGGGCAAUACUGCUUCUGCUCCAUAAAUCAUGAAAAAGGGUGUGUAACCUGUAGACCUGUUGGGUGUAGUAUUGAUGCUCCAUAACACUGAAGGCAACUCCUCUACCCAACAACCCGGCGUUCGCUAUAAAGGAACCAUAAGCCGGGGGUUUAGCCCUUUCAGAAUUUCCUGAUUGGCUCUCUCAGCUUGACCACUGGAUUGAGGAUGAGCUACAUAAGAAACAUCAAGCCGGAUGUGCUCUCGCUGACAAAACUCUUCCAUAGCCCCUUGGGAUAGAUUGGUGCCAUUGUCUGUGAUAAUACUGUGUGGAAAACCAAAACGGAAGGUUAUUUUCUUCACAAACUGAACCGCCGUGGCUGCAUCACACUUACUCACAGGCUCUGCCUCAACCCAUUUAGUGAACUUAUCAAUAGCCACCAAGAGAUGUGUCUUCUUGUCCAUAGACCUUUUGAAAGGUCCCACCAUGUCAAGCCCCCAGACUGCAAAUGGCCAAGUGAUUGGAAUCAUCCGGAGCUCUUGAGCCGGUACAUGCGCUCGCCGUGCAAAUUUCUGACAUCCAUCACAUCUACUGACCAGAUCUUUUGCAUCAGCGUGAGCCGUCAACCAGUAAAACCCGUGACGAAACGCCUUGGCCACUAAAGAUUUUGACCCGGCGUGAUGACCACAAUCGCCUUCAUGGAUCUCACGAAGGAUUUCUUGAUCUUCUUCGGGAGAAACACACCGUUGAAAUGCUCCUGAAACACUGCGAUGAAAUAACUCUCCAUCCGAAAUCGUCAUGGACUUAGACUGCCGGGUUAUCUGUCGAGCCAGAGUCUCAUCUGCUGGCAAUUCUCCCCGGGUCAUGUAAGCCAAGAACGGCACCGUCCAAUCUGGGAUGACAUGAAGAGCCGCCACCAACUGCGCCUCUGGGUCAGGAACAGCUAAAUCUUCUUCUGUGGGCAACUUGACAGAGGGGUUAUGCAAAACAUCUAAAAAGGUGUUGGGUGGUACUGGCUUACAUUGAGACCCCAGCCGGCUCAAAGCAUCAGCUGCUUCGUUCUUUCGACGGUCAAUCUGUUCCACCUGAUAUCCUUUAAAAUACCCUGCAACAGCAUCGACCUCUUGGCGAUAAGCCGCCAUGAGAGGGUCUUUGGAAUCCCACUUGCCAGACACCUGCUGAGCCACUAACUCUGAAUCACCAAGACAUCUGACCCGGCUCAAGCUCAUCUCCUUUGCCACUCGAAGACCAUGGAGCAAUGCUUCAUACUCUGCUGCGUUGUUAGUGCACGGAAACAUCAAUCGUAACACAUAACAAAAUUUAUCACCUCAUGGGGAAGUUAAAACAACUCCAGCCCCCGAGCCCUCCAAUUGCCUGGACCCAUCAAAAUGAAUAGUCUAAUACAUGUUGCCCGGAUUUUCUUCUGGCAUCUGCAUCUCUGUCCAGUCAUUGAUGAAGUCAACCAGGGCUUAAGACUUAAUCGCAGUGCGUGGAACAUACUUCAGCCCAUGAGACCCAAGCUCAAUUGCCCACUUGGAAACUCGCCCUGUAGAUUCUCUGUUUUGAAUAAUGUCUCCCAAAGGAGCAGAGCUAACCACAGUGAUUGGAUGUCCCUGAAAGUAAUGCUUAAGCUUCCGGCUUUCCAUGAACACCCCAUAAACAAGCUUCUGCCAAUGUGGAUAUCGUUGCUUAGACUCAAUUAGCACUUCACUGACAAAAUAAACCGGCCGCUGAACCGGAUUCUCCUUGCCCGCCUCCUUGCGCUCUACCACAAUAGCCACACUAACAGCCCGUGAGUUGGCAGCUACGUAUAAUAAUAGUGGCUCUUUCUCAAUUGGAGCAGCUAGGACCGGCGGCUCAACCAAUUGCGCCUUCAGAUCCUCAAAAGCGGCGUUCGCAGCAUCGCUCCAAACAAACACAUUUGUUUUCUUCAUCAACUGAUACAGAGGCAUAGCCUUUUCUCCUAACCGGCUUAUGAACCGGCUCAAAGCAGCCACACGACCCGCCAGUCAUUGAACAUCAUUGAUGCAAGUUGGUUUAGCCAGGGAUGUAAUCGCCUUGAUCUUCUCCGGGUUAGCUUCAAUACCUCGGUUGGACACCAGAAAACCCAAAAGUUUGCCGGCUGGCACUCCAAAAACACACUUGGCCGGGUUAAGCAUCAUCUUGUAAACCCGAAGAUUAUCAAAGGUCUCUUUCAAGUCUGUGACCAAGGUUUCCUCUUCCCUAGACUUUACUACUAUAUCAUCCACAUAGGCAUGAAUAUUGCGCCCAAUUUGAUCAUGAAGACAAUUCUGCACACACCGUUGUUAAGUCGCCUGAGCACUCUUGAGCCCAAAACGCAUAGACACAUAGCAGAAAGCCCCAAAAGGAGUUAUAAAUGUCGUCUUCUCUUGAUCCUUGACUGCCAUCUUAAUCUGAUGAUACCCGGAGUAAGCAUCUAAGAAACUCAACCGUGCGCAACCCGCCGUAGCAUCAAUGAUCUGAUCAAUACGGGGAAGAGCAAAAGGAUCAGCCGGACAGGCCUUGUUUAAAUCUGUGUAAUCCACACACAUACGACAGGUGCCAUUCUUUUUUAGCACGAGCACCGGGUUAGCUAACCAUUAUGGGUGAAAGACCUCCACAAUGAACCCGGCCGCCAAGAGCCGGUCCACCUCUUCUCCAAUGGCCUUGUGCCUUUCUUCAUUGAACCGCCGAAGAAACUGUCUGACAGGUUUGAACUUUGGAUUGAUAUUAAGAGUGUGCUCAGCGAGUUCCCUCGGGACACCCGGCAUGUCUGAAGGUUUCCAUGCAAAGAUGUCCCGGUUCUCACGGAUGAACUCGAUGAGAGCACUUUCCUAUUUCAGAUCCAAGUUUGCGCUGAUGAUGAACUGUUUGGAUGAAUCGCCUGGCACAAAGUCAACCAUCUUAGUGUCAUCAGCUGAUUUGAACUUCAACUCCGGCUCGUGCUCUGUGGUUGGUUUCUUUAAUGACAUCAUGUCUGCCGUGUCAACAUGAUCUUUAUAGAAUUUCAACUCCUCUGUAGCACAAACAGAUUCAGCAUACGCAGCAUCCCCUUCUUCACAUUCCAAGGCUAUCUUUCGGCUCCCAUGGACUGUAAUGGUGCCCUUGUGACCCGGCAUCUUGAGCUGGAAAUAUACGUAACACGGUCGAUCCAUGAACUCGGCAUAAGCCAGCCGCCCAAACAGAGCAUGAUAUGGGCUCUUAAUUUUAACCACCUCAAAGGUUAAUUUUUCUGCUCUAGAGUCAUACUCAUCUCCAUAAGCUACUUCCAGCUCGAUCUUACCAACUGGAUAUGCCGACUUACCAGGCACCACACCAUGAAAAACAGUGUUGGAUUGUUUAAGAUUUUUAUCCGUCAAUCCCAUACGGCGAAACGUCUCAUAGUAAAGGAUGUUGAUGCUGCUACCUCCAUCCAUGAGUACCUUAGUAAAUUUGUAUCCACCAACCUAAGGUGCCACUACUAAUGACAAGUGACCCGGAUUAUCAACCCGGGGCGGGUGGUCCUCUCUACUCCAUACAAUGGGCUGCUCUGACCAACGAAAGUAACGUGGAAUUGCCGGCUCAACAGCAUUAACGGCCCUCUUGUGGAGCUUCUGGUCUCUUUUACACAAACUGGUAGUAAAGACAUGAUACUAUCCGCUACUCAAGUGCUUCGGGUUGCUCUGAUAGCCGGAUUGCUGCUGCUGUUGAUUCCCUUGGCCAUGUUGCUGAUUAUAUCCCCCCUGGUGACCAGGAUGACCAUGAAAACCUCCUCUGCUUGAACCGGCGCCCGGGCCCUGAAAGCCGCCUGAGCCGCCACCCGGACCGUGACCCCCAUCAAACGCGUUUGAAUUUUUAAAUGCCUUCAUGAUCGUACAAUCAUUCCAUAAGUGGGUAGCUGGCUUCUCCCUGGUGCCGUGUCUGGGACAAGGUUCAUUCAACAGCUACUCAAGGGUGGGGCCUGACCCGCCCGAUCGAGGGGGCUGUCUGCCCUUGCGCCGCUGAUUACCACCAUGUGCAUUAGUAUUAGCAACAAACUCAUCAGCCUUACGCUUAUUACCUCCUUGAUUUGCCGGGUUAUGCUGGUGACCCUUGCCACUGUCGUUCUUCUUUCCCUUUGUUGCCUUUUCUUCAUCAGACGCCGGGUCUUUAGUGAUAUUAGAAUCGGCAUACUUGACAAGAGCCGCCAUCAACGUUCACAUGUCAUUACAGUCUCGUUUAAGCCGCCCCAACUUCUGUUUCAGAGGCUCAAACGGUAAUUCUUCUCCAACAUCAAAACUGCUGAGUCGGCGUCCAUUUUGUCAGACGAAUGUAUUAUCUCCUUGACCCGGCGCACCCAAUGAGUCGUAGAUUCUCCAUCUUCUUGCUUGCAAUUGGUCAGGUCCACAAUUGACAUUGGCUAUUUACACGUGUCCUUAAAGUUCUAGAUGAACCGUGCCUUUAACUCUACCCAUGAGCCGAUGGAAUUGGGUGGCAAUCCUUUCAGCCAGGUCAGAGCCAUUCCAUCCAACAUCAUGGUAAAGUACUUGGCCAUUGCAGCAUCACUAACUUCCAACAUCUCCAUAGCCAUCUCAUAACUCUCAAUCCAAGCCCCCGGCUGUAAGUCAGCCAUGUAGUUAGGUACCUUACGAGGUCCCUUGAAAUCCUUGGGCAAUCGUUCGUUGCGUAUGGCUGGGACCAGGCAAGGUACACCUCCGGUUCUUGUAACCACUCCUGCCUCAACCGACGUUGCUGGAUAAGCCGGAAAGGUUUGGUGAGCUGCCUGCUCUGCUGCUAUCUGAGCCGCCCGCUCCGCCUCUUGACGAAUCCUCUCCUGAUCCGCCAAGUUAAGGGCUCCAGCUCGCACCGGCUCAUGCCUAUAUGGCCGAUUGUGGCGUUGAGCAUUACUCGACAUCUCUGCAGACUCCAUAUGCCUACUGUAACUCAGGCUCUGGCUUGGGCGAGGAGUUGAAUGAAUCCUGCCUCGACUGUAGGAGUAUGCGUCCUGUUGGGCCAAAGCUGUCUGAAGCAGUUCUCUUACCCUCCGGGUCUCAAUUGCUGCUGGCGAGUCGCCUUCCAUUGGGAGAGCCGCCAAACGAGCCGAUGCUGCAAUGAGGUUCUCCAUGGGGUUGGAGAAGUGACCCGGGGGUGUUGAUAUAUAACGAGGAGGAGUUGUAUUCAUGCGCGGUGGCUCCAUGGUGCGUGGCUGAACUAGUGCUCCGGGCGUGUCGACCCGGUUUACCUCCGGCGGGUUGCUCCCUCCAGCUCCGGGUGUAUGGAACAGAUUCCUGGGAUCCAGUGUUAGAGGCAGAAACAACUGAGUUUUCUGACGCCUCCUCCUCGUGACUUCGUUUGAUGCAUUAAGAUCCACAAAGAGCCGGAAGGUUUCUGCUUGAAGCUGCUGAGCACGAGCAUCCAAAGCUGCUCGUUCUGCUGCCAUCCGGGUUUCCUCCGCAGCCAAAUUUUCCUUAGCCUGCACCAUCUCCUCCCGCACGCGUGCUACUUCCGCUUCAUGAUGGGCUUUAUCCACCGGCUCUACCACAACGGUUAAAAGAGUCGUCAGUUUAUCCAUGAGGUCCAUGAGAACCUGAGCCGAGGGGCGCGCGGGGUCUCCUGACCCGGCAGCUGCCGACCCGGUGGCGACCGCUUUCGCUGCGGUGGAGUUCUGUCCGGGCUACAUCCCUGCCAUGAAGACUCCGGCCCAAUUUGGCGGCUCAAGCGGGUCCGGAAUACUGCUGCCAUCGGAAUAGCCCCCGAGCAUGUCAUCUUGCAGUUGGUACAAUGAGUCCGUCUCACCCGUUGAAGAUGCAGUAUCAGAGCAGAUGGCCGUCUCCCCACCUUCCAUCGAUCCUUCGGAGUAUUCACUGCCAUGGACGCAGCCUACGAAGGCAUGCUUCAUGACAGAUUGAACACGGGCGGACCCGACACGCUGAGCCGUUUCGAUGAGGUCAGUGUAGACAUCCGGCUCAGGGCCUAACUCGCCGAUCCGGCCGAUGAAGACGUGGAUUCCGCCGAAGGGGACCUGGUACCCGUACUCGAUUGAGCCGGCCUCGGGGCCCCAGCCUUGUCGCCGAUGUAGAUCUUGCCGCGAUGACUCUUGGUCAUCCGGCCCACAGCGUAUCCCUUGAGCCCUUCGAAGUUUCCCUUCAAGAACUCAAAUCCACUGUGCGCUGGCCCCACGGUGGGCGCCAACUGUCGUGGAAUUUUCACAGAAGAUGUCCUAGAGCAAGGACUUAGUCGUAGGGCCAUCGCACUAGGAAGCUUAAAGGGGUUAAUCGGGACAAAGGACACGAGAGAGUUUUAUACUAGUUCGGCCCCUUACGAUGAAGGUAAAAGCCUACGUAUAGUUGGGUUUGGUAUUGCUGGGGUUUCGAUUACCAAGAGGCUUAACUCCCCGGCUUGGUUAUCGAAUUGUUGUUUCUUGCCCUAAACCGCCACCGGGUCGUCCCCUUAUAUACACGGGUUGACGUCUGGUGGCUUACAGAGUCCCGGCCGGCUCAUAAUCGUGUCCGGCUCGGUGACUUCCUCAACAUGCCUUUCUUUACAAGUCUUUCCGUUCCUAUAGCGGUUUACAAUAACGGGCUUUUAAGCCGGCCCAAGGCCUUUGGGCUUUCUACAUAUACUAAUAAACUAUCAUCUUGACUGUAUAUUGGGCUUCUUAUGUAACCCGCCAUUAAGGCUGACCCGGCCCCUCCUGGGCGGGUCUCAGCUGAUAAUAAUAUCCCCAACAGGUGUCGCAAGCUUACUCAAAACAGAAGGUGAAUUAAGUGCAGAGCUAGAUGGCAAUUCCUUACCUCCCCUCGUAGUUGAGGGAUAAAUCUUGGUUUUUGGAUCUCUCAAGUUCUUCAUAAUGAUAAGCAGAUAUAAAUCCCAAGUGACUCAAAGAAUAGAGCUAUGCUCCCCGACAACGGCGCCAGAAAAUAGUCUUGAUAACCCACAAGUAUAGGGGAUUGCAACAGUUUUCGAUGGUAGUAUUCAACCCAAAUUUAUUGAUUCGACACAAGGGGAGCCAAAGAAUAUUCUCAAGUAUUAGCAGCUGAGUUGUCAAUUCAACCACACAUGGAAACUUAAUAUCUGCAGCAAAGUGUUUAGUAGCAAAGUAAUAUGAUAGUAGUGGUAAUGAUAGCAAAAAAUAAUGGUAGCAAAAGUAGUGUUUUUGGUAUUUUGUAGUGAUGAUAGCAAUAGCAACGCAAAAGUAAAUAAGCGAAGAACAAUAUAUGAAAAGCGCGUAGGCAAUGGAUCGGUGAUAGAGAAUUAUGCCGAAUGCGGUUUAUCAUGUAACAUUCAUAACCUAGGGUGACACAAAACUAGCUCCAAUUCAUCAAUGUAAUGUAGGCAUGUAUUCCGAAUAUAGUCAUACGUGCUUAUGGAAAAGAACUUGCAUGACAUCUUUUGUCCUACCCUUUCGUGGCAGCGGGGUCCUAAUCUUAUCUUAUAUAUAUAUUUACUAAUUGGAGGCACCAUUGGAUUUACCACGUUAAUCCUAGAAAACCAUGUAAAAAUAUCCUUAGGAUCUCAAUUCUACGGUUAGGAUCAAAUAAUAGAUCAAAUAGUCCUUCCUGGAAAAAAAAACAGAUCAAGGAGUCAUACCUUUCCACGUUGGAGAUAUAUCUUUCUAAGUUUGGUCUUCUUCACGUAUUGCUACAUCCUUAGGAUCUCAAUUUUAUGGUUAGGAUCAAAUAUGAGAUCAAUAACUUACUAUCUUUACACGUUAACAGAUCAAAGAGUUAUAUCUUUCCAUGUUUGGACUCCUACAUGCAUCGCUAUAUCCUUAGGAUCUCAAUUCUAUGGUUAGGAUCAAAUAACAGAUCAAAAAGUUAUAAGAUCGAUCGAUCUCUGAUUCUGCAUUGUCGAUCCAUAGUUCAUCCUAGAAGUUUUACAACUACGAUCGUCCGAUAAAUUGUAGGAAAAAUCGAGAUAGCUAUAAUCUUCUCGGCUCAGAUUUUUCCAUCGAAAACAGUCCUUCCUUCUCCCGAGGUUCCAUCCUCAAGCACUUAUACUCCCGCAACAAGAAUAUUUUUCUUUCUCACGCAUCUCCUCCAUCGUGCCAGCGGUUUGAUCUAGUAGCCCUCAGAUUUUCCUUAUGGAGAAGCAAACUUUCCUCCUCACGAGGUCCCUGCUCAAGCCCAUCUCCUCUGGCAGCAGGCACGUUUACCCCUUUUCUUCCGCAUCUCCUCCAUUGAGCCUGCUGUUUAAACAAGUAGCCACCGUUCUCUUAUCUUCCCUCACUGCCCGCCAGCUGCGGUCUGUGCCACCUUGACUUCAUGAUUAAACCUGAAUGACAUCUUUGCCUGUCCAUGUUUGUUUUCCUAUAAAGAUAGAAAUCUAACGUGCUUUCUCACGCGACUCCCUGUGUGAUCACUCUCUCCUAUGUUCUAGGGUUUGUAAUUUUCAUUAUGUACCGCCAACAUCAUCGUGGCAAAUGGAACUUGGUAGGCAACCACAGUGCUGGUGGGUGGCUGCGUAAUGUAUGCUGGGUACAGAACUGUGUACUUCCAAUUGCAUAUUAGCGGCCAGCGUUUAGUAGGUAAGCAUAUUAGUGGCGAGCGUUUUGAUUUGGAGUACGGAACGGUGGAUGCAUUAGCAUAAUCGCUGAGGUACUUAUUACUACAGCACCCAUUCAUAUGCACGUACAGUUUAUUUUUUUGGAGGAGCACGUAGAGACUUUUGCUUCAUUAAUUCGUAGCUUUUGGUUGUCGCCUCCAUCUAUAAUCAGUCCGCUGUUGCGCGCAGAAGUCUUAUACUUCCCCUUCCACCCGAAAUCUCAUAUUAAUAUCCCCCUUUUGUUUCGCUUUUACUGUCAAUAAAAAGGUGGAAGCUGACCUAAAUUCCUCAUGAUUAUUUUGAUCACAAUUGAUCAGUACGAUUCCAGCAGGAAUUGCAUGGAUAUCUUAGUUUGGAUGCAACAAAAAAAAUACAGCUCUUCGAAUGUAUAUCUGAUGCUAUGGCUUUGCUACAUCGAGCUAUAGUUCGAAUUUAGUGAUCUUUGGAUUUUGAUUAUGUGUUCAUAAUUUUGUACGACUACCUGAAUUAGAAGUAUUUUUCUCAUUAUUUGGCUAUUGCAUCUAUUUUCUCUACCGAUUCUACACCACCAGUUCCGACGAUGAUCUUCACAUAUCCUAUAAUAUAACUUCCCACACAGGUUAAUCUUACAAAGAAAAGAAGUCGUAGAAAUUUUGGAGUGAAGGUUACAUGUAAGAUGAAUAUGCGUGUGACUACAUCUAUCUAUCUUCAUUUAUCACAUACAUAUUACGCAGUGUCCUGGGUCACUAAAUUUAAUUAUCUUCUCAACGUGGUCGGCAUUUUCAAUUUAUUAAUCGGACAUAGUAUCGAUUGUUCGAUGUGCUUCAUAAAAAAUCAAAUUGCGAGUGUAAUAUAACACAUACUUCAUCAGUUUGGAGCUUAACAUUACACGUCAUUAUCGCUGCCUCUUCUGCCUUCCAUUUCUUCUUACUUUCCUGUUGUAUUGCUUAAUAGAUGGCCAUGGAGAUCUUUCCUCAGUUUGACAAUGAAGCCAGAAGUCCGAUUUGUAUAUGAUAAUUCAUGAUGUACACAUUGCAAUAUACAUACAAAAUUUAUUGGUUUAUUUUUUCAAAUGACAAAGUAAACCAGUUAACGGAAUUUUAUAUUUGUAUACUACAUAUUAGUUCUUCAUCUGCCAUUAAGAUUUUGAUUAGAAUGUUUCAAACAUGGCACUUGAUGGGAAUAUCAUUAGGAUGAAGAUAGAUUAAUGUUAUAAUCCACUUACAAAUUUGUCCAGUUCUGUAACCGACAAGAUAGAUAUGUUUGAUUUACUUAUAGGUAAUUCUUUAUACACACUUUGAUUCCACAUCAACGAUGUCUUUACAAAUUAGCACAUAGGCAUCUAUGUAAUGCCGUGGAUCCAUUGUAAUUGAUGCAAUUUUUUGUUGAAAUCUUCUAUCUUAUUUGUUCUAUAUCAGGAAAUAUAACCAAUUUCAGCCAUUGUUUUGCAAACCUGAAAUAUGUGAACUUCGAAGUUUCUCUUUUAUAAUGUGCUUUGAUGCAAUGAUCUUACAUUACGAUUUCAAUCGUGGUUACGUGAUGAUGGUAUAGUUUUUAUUUUCGAUGCAUGUGUUCGAUCCUAGAGGAGUGACCUUGGGCCAUCUUUUGCUAUGGAAACAAAAGAUAUCUUCACACUUGACGGCAAGGCAAUGGCAUUUCCUCCCAUGAAGAAGGUCUAGAAAGCUACAACUUUCUGAACACCGGAUUGUUCUUGAAGAGAUGAAAUAAUCACUUGGCUUGGUUUCAUGGAACCAACAUGACUAAAUUUGAUACUUCUACUUCUACUUAAUGUGGGAUAGUUAUAAUUUCUUUUCGGUAUGUGCCAUUGUACGUAGUCAUUUCACUUGAAGCAUUUUAGUGUUGGUUAAAGUUGGAUGGUUGCAAUGAUGUAGAAUGAAGAUUAAUUGCAGCUACAUAUUAUGAAAUAAAACUUAAUUCAUUUGUUUCAUUGUUCAACAUAUUUCUUUAUUAUUGUACUAUUUAUAGAAGAAUAGAUAUGAUGUAUUGAAUACCAUUGUACCUUUUUAAUCAUGUGAUUCUCUAAAUUAUGACUGAUAUAAAUGUUAUAAAUCAAAAAAGGAAAAUAAAAUGUAAAUUAGUUCUAGCCCGUGCAGGUGCACGGGUUGUUGACUAGUGGAUACUAAGGGAUAUUAAGGCCUCCUUUUAAUUGAGUACCGGACCAAAGCAUUAACACAUAGUGAAUACAUGAACUCCUCAAACUACGGUCAUCACCGGGAGUGGUCCCGAUUAUUGUCACUUCGGAGUUGCCGGAUCAUAACACAUAGUAGGUGACUAUAGACUUGCAAGAUAGGAUCAAGAACUCACAUAUAUUCAUGAAAACAUAAUAGGUUCAGAUCUGAAAUCAUGGCACUCGGGCCCUAGUGUCAAGCAUUAAGCAUAGCAAAGUCAUAGCAACAUCAAUCUCAGAACAUAGUGGAUACUAGGGAUCAAACCCUAACAAAACUAACUCGAUUACAUGAUAAAUCUCAUCUAACCCAUCACCGUCCAGCAAGCCUACGAUGGAAUUACUCACGCACGGCGGUGAGCACCAUGAAAUUGGUGAUGGAGGAUGGUUGAUGAUGACGAUGGCGACGGAUUCCCCUCUCCGGAGCCCCGAACGGACUCCAGAUCAGCCCUCCCGAGAGGUUUUAGGGCUUGGCGGCGGCUCUGUAUCGUAAAACGCGAUGAAUCCUUCUCUCUUAUUUGUUCCCCCCGAAAGCAAAUAUAUAGAGUUGGAGUUGAGGUCGGAGGAGCUCCAGGGGGCCCACGAGGUAGGGGGCGCGUCCUGGGGGGGCAGACGCGCCCCCCACCCUCGUGGCUAGGGUGUGGGCCCCUGUUCUUCAUCUUUUGCAAGGAUUUUUUAUUAUUUCCAAAAAGAUGUUUCGUGAAGUUUCAGGUCAUUUCGAGAACUUCUGUUUCUGCACAUAAAUAACACCAUAGUAAUUCUGCUGAAAAUAACGUCAGUCCGGGUUAGUUUCAUUCAAAUCAUGCAAGUUAGAGUGCAAAACAAGGGCAAAAGUGUUUGGAAAAGUAGAUACGACGGAGACGUAUCAGUUUUCUUCAAGUUCAAGGAGUUGACUACGAUGAGACCUUCUCACUCGUAGCGAUGCUUAAGUCCGUCCGAAUCAUGUUAGCAAUUGCCGCAAUUUAUGAUUAUGAAAUUUGGCAAAUGGAUGUAAAGACUGCAUUCCUGAAUGGAUUUAUGGAAGAAGAGUUGUAUAUGAUGCAAUCUGAAGGUUUUAUCAAUCCAAAGGGUGCUAACAAAGUAUGCAAGCUCCAGCGAUCCAUCUAUUGACUGGUACAAGCAUCUCGGAGUUGGAAUAAACGUUUUGAUAGUGUGAUCAAAGCAUAUGGUUUUAUACAGACUUUUGGAGAAGCCUGUAUUUAUAAGAAAGUGAGUGGGAGCUCUGUAGCAUUUCUAAUAUUAUAUGUGGAUGACAUAUUGCUGAUUGGAAAUUAUAUAGAAUUUCUGGAUAGCAUAAAAGGAUACUUGAAUAAGAGUUUUUCAAUGGAAGACCUCGGUGAAGUUUCUUAUAUAUUGGGCAUCAAAAUCUAUAGAGAUAGAUCAAGAAACAUAAUUGGACUUUCACAAAGCACAUACCUUGAUAAAGUUUUGAAGAAGUUCAAAAUGGAUCAAGCAAAGAAAGGGUUCUUGCCUGUGUUACAAGGUGUGAAGUUGAGUCAGACUCAAUGCCCGACCACUGCAGAAGAUAGAGAGAAAAUGAAAGAUGUUCCCUAUACUUCAGCCAUAGGCUCUAUCAUGUAUGCAAUGUUGUGUACCAGACCUGAUGUGUGCCUUGCUAUUAGUUUAGCGGGGUGGUACCAAAGUAAUCCAGGAGUGGAUCACUACACAGCGGUCAAGAACAUCCUGAUAUACCUGAAAAGGACUAAGGAUAUGUUUCUCGUUCAUGGAGGUGACAAAGAGCUCAUCAUAAAUGGUUACGUCGAUGCAAGCGUUGACACUGAUCCAGAUGACUCUAAGUCACAAACCGGACACGUAUUUUUAUUGAACGGUGGAGCUGUCAGUUGAUGCAGUUCUAAGCAAAGCGUCAUGGCGGGAUCUAUUUGUGAAGUGGAGUACAUAGCUGCUUCAGUAGCAGCAAAUGAAGGAGUCUGGAUGAAGGAGUUCAUAUCUGACCUAGGUGUCAUACCUAGUGCGUCGGGUCUAAUGAAAAUCUUUUGUGACAAUACUGGUGCAAUUGCCUUGGCAAAGGAAUCCAGAUUUCACAAAAGAACCAAGCACAUCAAGAGACACUUCAAUUCCAUCCGCGGUCAAGUCAAGGAAGGAGACAUAGAGAUUUGCAAGAUACAUACGGAUCUGAAUGUUGCAGACCCGUUGACUAAGCCUCUCCCACGAGCAAAAGAUGAUCAGCACCAAGACUCCAUGGGUGUUGGAAUCAUUACUGUGUAAUCUAGAUUAUUAACUCUAGUGCAAGUGGGAGAGUGAAGGAAAUAUUCCCUAGAGGCAAUAAUAAAGUUGUUAUUUAUAUUUCCUUAUAUCAUGAUAAAUGUUUAUUAUUCAUGCUAGAAUUGUAUUAACCGGAAACUUAGUACAUGUGUGAAUACAUAGACAAACAGAGAGUCACUAGUUUGCCUCUACUUGACUAUCUCAUUGAAUCAAUGAUGGUUAUGUUUCCUAACCAUAGACAUGAGUUGUCAUUUGAUUAACGGGAUUACAUCAUUAGAUAAUGAUGUGACUGACUUGACCCAUUCCAUUAUCUUAGCAUGAUGAUCGUUUAGUUUGCUACUAUUGCUUUCUUCAUGACUUAUACAUGUUACUAUGACUAUGAGAUUAUGCAACUCCCGAGUACAUGAGGAACACUUUGUGUGCUACCAAACAUCACAACAUAACUGGGUGAUUAUAAAGGUGCUCUACAGGUGUCUCCGAUGGUACUUGUUGAGUUGGCAUAGAUCGAGAUUAGGAUUUGUCACUCCGAUUGUUGGAGAGGUAUCUCUGGGCCCUCUCGGUAAUGCACAUCACUAUAAGCCUUGCAAGCAUUUUGACUAAUGAGUUAGUUGCGGGAUGAUGUAUUAUGGAACGAGUAAAGAGACUUGCCCGUAACAAGAUUGAACUAGGUAUGAGGAUAUCGACGAUCGAAUCUCGGGCAAGUAACAUACCGAUGACAAAGGGAACAACGUAUGUUGUUAUGCGGUUUGACCGAUAAAGAUCUUCAUAGAAUAUGUAGGAACCAAUAUGAGCAUCCAGGUUCCGCUAUUGGUUAUUGACCGGAGACGAGUCUCGGUCAUGUCUACAUAGUUCUCGAACCCGUAGGGUCCGCAUGCUUAAAGUUCAGUGACGAUCGGUAUUAUGAGUUUAUGUGUUUUGAUGUACCGAAGGUAGUUCGGAGUCCGGAUGUGAUCGCGGACAUGAUGAUGAGUCUCGAAAUGGUCGAGACGUAAAGAUUGAUAUAUUGGACGGCUAUAUUCGGACACCGGAAGUGUUCCGGAUGGUUUCGAAGAAAACCGGAGUGCCUAAUUGGUUAGCGGAACCCCCUCUCCCCCCCCCGGGGGGGGAGUAUUGGGCCUUAGUGGGCCUGAGGGGAGAGAGAGGGCUGCAGCCCAGGAGGUGGCGCGCCCCCUCCCAUGAGUCCGAAUUGGACUAGGGGAGGGGGGCGCGGCCCCUCUUUCCCUCUCCCUCUCCCUCUCCCUCUCUUUCCUUCCCCCUUUCCCCCUUCCUAGUAGGACUAGGAAAGGAUCAAUCCUACUCCUACUAGGAGGAGGAUUCCUCCUCUCCUUGGGGCGCACCAAGGCCAGCCGGCCUCCCCCCUUGCUCCUUUAUAUACGGGGCCGGGGGGGCACCCAAAGACACACAAGUUGAUUGUUCCAAGCCGUGUGCGGUGCCCCCCUCCACCAUAAUCCACCUCGAUCAUAUCAUAGUGGUGCUUAGGCGAAGCCCUGCGUCGGUAGCAACAUCAUCACCGUCAUCACACCAUCGUGCUAACGAAAGUCUCCCGCGAAGCUCUGCUGGAUCAGAGUUCAUGGGACGUCAUCGAGCUGAACGUGUGCUGAACUCGGAGGUGUCGUACGUUCGGUACUUGCAUCAGUCGGAUUGUGAAGACGUACGACUACAUCAACCGUGUUCUCAUAACGUUUCCGCUUACGGUCUACGAGGGUACGUGGACGAUACUCUCCCCUCUCAUUGCUAUGCAUCACCAUAAUCUUGCGUGUGCGUAGGAAUUUUUUUGAAAUUACUACGUUCCUCAACACCAGCAUACUACUCACUCCAUUCCUAAAUAUUUGUAUUUUUAGAGAUUUCAAAUGUACUACCAUAUACUGAUGUAUAUAUACAUACUUUAACGUGUAGAUUCACUCAUUUUGCUUCGUAUGUAGUCACUUGUUGAAAUAUCUAAAAAGACAAAUAUUUAGGAACGGAGUACUAGUUAAUAGGCGUAGGAGACAUCAGGAUUUAGGUUAACUAAAGAGGGUCAGAGGGUGCCCUCAAGGAUCCAAAUUUGCAUGUGUAUGGAUACUGAGAGGCUUGGUGGGAUUCCUAAAAAUUUUGUAUGCGCUGUGAGGGACAGUUCGCUUCUUUUACUGUUUUCGUAUUGGUUCAGGGACCGGACAUUAGGCCCUAUAGGGUGCUACAUUAAUAGAAGAAUAUUUUGUUACUAGUAACAUAAUAUAGUCCUAUACUCUUUAUAUAUUUUCAUGUUAUUUUUUCAUAGUUUUGUUUCAGUUGCAUAUGAAUUUGUACCUGCUUUUUAAAUAUGAAGAGCAUGCAAGAUAAGAUGAUGUAUCUUAGAGAAAAGUCCAUGUCACAACCCUUAACUUGCCACUCGAUUUAUCUAGUUAUUUGAUGAGUCAAAUCUGGUUAUCCAUCUUAGAAUCAUACUAGGCAAAAAAUACAAAGUUUGUUUAGUGAAAAUAAUGUCUAGAACAAUCUUCUCAUUUAUAGUGUGAUCUAUCAUAUAUUGACACACACAAGCUUACAUACUUAGCCCCACUCAAUCUAUGCAUAUCUGGAUAUGCCUAAUAUCAUGUGGAGCAUCACAAACUUAAUUCCAAAAGGAGGCAAAAUCUAGAUCAAUGUGUGUAGUGUAAAGUGAAAAAAAUGAGUCAUAGGUCGUUAUCAAGUAUGCCUUACAACUAAAUGAUAUGUGUAACAAAAAGCAACUAUCAUGAAUAAUCUAAAAUCACACAAGUAAAGUUGCCCCACCAACCACAACAUACCAAACGCUUAGUUGGAUAACCUUAUGAGCACUUUUCAGAAAGCAAGUGGAAAGAUGAAUGAAAUCAUACCAUGACAGCUAUAAAUACACCUUCAUCAUCAUAGCCACCUUUCAUCAUCCAAACUUCACGCACCAAGAUCAAAAACAUCUAUUCCAAGCAAGUAUUAGUAAUCAUAAACCCAACAUGAAGACCUUCCUCAUCUUCGUCCUCCUUGCCAUGGCGAUGAGCAUCGUCACUGCUGCUAGGCAGCUAAACCCUAGCAAGCAAGAGUUGCAAUCACCACAACAAUUAUAUCCGCAGCAACCAUAUCCACAGCAACCAUAUCCACCACAACAACCAUUUCCCACACCCCAACAAUAUUUCCCCCAUCAAUCACAACAACCAUUUUCCCCACCACAACAAUCAUUUCCCCAACCCCAACAAGCAACCCCCCUACAACCACAACAACCAUUCCCCCAGCAACCCCAACAACCACAACAAGCUUUUCCCCAACCCCAACAACAAUUUGCCUUGCAACCACAACAACAAUUUCCCCAGCUCCAACAACCACAACAAUCAUUCCCACAACAACCCCAGAGACCACACCCAUUCCCCCAACAACUAGAACAAGUAAUUUCACAGCAACCACAACAACCAUUCCUCCUGCAACCGCAACAACCAUUCCCCCAGCAANNNNNNNNNNNNNNNNNNNNNNNNNNNNNNNNNNNNNNNNNNNNNNNNNNNNNNNNNNNNNNNNNNNNNNNNNNNNNNNNNNNNNNNNNNNNNNNNNNNNNNNNNNNNNNNNNNNNNNNNNNNNNNNNNNNNNNNNNNNNNNNNNNNNNNNNNNNNNNNNNNNNNNNNNNNNNNNNNNNNNNNNNNNNNNNNNNNNNNNNNNNNNNNNNNNNNNNNNNNNNNNNNNNNNNNNNNNNNNNNNNNNNNNNNNNNNNNNNNNNNNNNNNNNNNNNNNNNNNNNNNNNNNNNNNNNNNNNNNNNNNNNNNNNNNNNNNNNNNNNNNNNNNNNNNNNNNNNNNNNNNNNNNNNNNNNNNNNNNNNNNNNNNNNNNNNNNNNNNNUAAAUCCCCAGCAACCCCAACAACCAUUUUCCCAGUCACGACAACCAUUUCCCCAGCAACCCCAACAACCAUUCCCACUGCAACCGCAACAACCAUUUCCCCAGCAAUCAGCACAAAUAAUUCCUCAGCAACCCCAACAACCAUUCCCUCUACAACCACAACAAUCAUUCCUUCGGCAAUCACAACAACCGUUCCUCCAACAACCACAACAACCAUCUCCCCAACCCCAACAAGUAGUACAAAUAAUUCCCCAGCAACCCCAACAACCAUUCCCUCUGCUGGCAAACCAACCUCAGCAACCUUAUCCACAACAGCAACCAUCAGGAGUAAUGGUAUAGGCAUCGGGGGCCAAGGAAAUGAAGAGCUAUAGUACUAGCCCGGCGGAUCAUCGUUGUUUAGUCAAUUGAGUGUUCAAUGUAACGAUGAUAAAUAAAGUGAUGUGUACCAUCAUGUGUAACCCCGACCUAUACUAGUUCAAACAUGAGAAUAAAAGACAAAGAAAGUUCUUGUCACAAGGACAUUGCUGGUAAUUAUUACAUUCAUGCCAUAUUUGGAUUUUCAUCCCAAAAUAUAAUUUGAGUCAUGUGCAUUAACUACCUAUUUAUGAAGUGAAGUCAUAUGAUCCUAACACAAUUAAUGAUUGUGAAACUUGGUUUAAUUGAAGUACUACCAAUUAAGGAGUAAUAAUUAAUUGCAUCUCUUUGGUGGCUAGCGAUGUGAAUUGUGUGACCUUAUUAUCUGAAAUGUUCUAGAUUGUACAUAGACACACUUUUUACAAUUGUUGAGG
rnacentral:lncRNA from 1 species